GUGCUUAAUCAGAUGUGGAUUUUGAACGGUGAGUACGACAAGUCUGGUCCAUCCAUUGUCCACAAGAAGUGCUUCUAAGGUGCUGCUGCUAUUUUUACAUCUGUUCGCAAGUUCUUUUUUAUUUUUUUGUUCUUCCCGCUAAAGCUAUUAUGUCGUCCACAGUGAACGCAUGUCUGCUGCUAUAGCCAAGUCUUUGAGAUGGGGUUAUCAAAGAAGGGCAAUUAAAAACAUUGUACCGCUGAUACUAUUUCAUGUUUCUAGUGCAAGCCUCUUUUAUAAGUUGACAAACUCGAUUUGUAAAUAUGUUUGGGACUCAACUAGUGGUUAGAGUUCUGAUUUUAUAAGAUUUGUGUACAGAAAAUCAAAGUAGAAAGAUAACUCGUGAUGGUUGAAUAAGCUCGAAGAAGUGGAUUUGAAUUUCAAAUCGUGUCUUUUUUUUUUAUGUGUGUGAGAUGUUUGAAGUGUUGUUUAGAUUUGUUGGAAUAGUCUAAAGAGAUUGUCUCUAUAAAAUUUGAAGACAUUUGAUGGAGAUCUGAUUAGAUGAUUUUGAACAACAAUUGCAACUGAAGAUGGAUAUGUAUAUUAUAUUUGUAGUUAGCAACGUGUUGUAUAUUUUUAUAGUCGAUAUAUUGUUUUCUCAUUCGGUGUUUGGUAUCCAUAUUGGAGUUUGACUAAAUUCGGAUUUCCUCAUUUCAACGGGCGGUGCUCUUGACAUGAUUUUUUCCAUUCCACGGCUCAUGCUCCAAAAUUCUAAUUAAGGAUAGAAAAAUCUCAACUAUCUCACCACAACUCAUAUCAGUUAUAUUGGGUAUACAAGUGUAAACUAAUAAUACUAUGAAACUAAUAAUAUUUAAUUUAUUUUAGAGGUAAGAUAAGGACAAAAUGGUAAUCCAACUUAGAGGUUAGGAGCUUCACACUUGUAAUAAUACUAAUAUAAUAUAUGGGCACGUGUGUUCCCAGUUACUUUUUAUAUAUAGAUACGUUAGAAUGAUUACAAUUUUAUGAAAGAAUGCGUGUAAUUAGUAAUAAAAUACAACAAUUACAAAUUAAUCUUUAAGAGUUUGACAAGAAACACCAAAUGAGAGGUGAAUUUUAAUGUUUAAAAUUAAUUAAGCAACCAACAUAAAUUUUGAACUAUAAUUGGUAGUUAGCAAACUUCCAAUAAAAUCACAAAGGGCUAAUUUGAGCUCAACAAAGAUAUACACACUUACUACAAUAAGAAAUUAAUAGAAAAUUAAAUUAAAGAAGUUUAAUGGAAGAGAAAACACACAAAAAGAUAGAGAAGGAAAAAAUACAACAUACACAUUUUUUUUAAGACUUAUAUCAUAACAAUAUAGAUGGAAAAAGAAGUACAAUACAUAAUUUUCAAGUUCUUGUGGAGGCUUAAUUAUCCAUAACCAAUCAAAAUUCAAAAGUCAUCUUCGUCGAGUCAAACUAAAACAUGAGCCAAAUAGUACAAUAAUGAUAUAAGUCGUUACUUUAACUAUAGAAUGAAAAUGAUAAUAUUCUUGAGUAGGGGUCUCAUGAAACAAAAAAAAAAUGAAUUUAUAUAGAUAAAAAUUAAGGAAUACCAAAAGAUAAGUUUUAAAUUAAAUGUUUGAAGGUUAUAUGGUGUUUUUUGGUCUGCACCUAAUUCAAUAAAGGAAUAGAAAAAGUCACUAAAGUGGCUGCUAGUGUUCUCUAUGUAUGUAUCAGUUAUAAUUUUCAUCAAAUAGAUGAAUGCCAUCUUGCAUUUAAUUAAUCAAGUGAAGUUAAUGUAUUGAAUUAAUCAUCUUUUUUUACUUCAUUGUGUAAAGUAUUUAAAUUGAAACUGACUUAGCACCUUCCCAUUUUUAGGAUUUAGUAUAUAAUAGGAUAUAAUUACUACUACAAUAUUUAAUUAAUUAAAUAAUCUUUUUUAUAAUUUUUAUUUAAUAUAUAGGGGUAAAACGGUAAUUCAACUUUGAACAUAAAUUCUUUCCAUUUUUAAUAAUACUAGUUUUUGUGAACGUGUGUUGCACGUUUAAUUUGUCCCUUGUAAUUACUACAAGAUUUCUAUAUAAUUUUUUUAAAAAAUAAAUAAAUUUCAUAAUAGAAAAUAUGCAUGUAUUUCACGCUACUUAGUAUUAAUAUUUGUAAAUGAUUUAAAUACAAUUACAAUAUGUAUAAAUAGUUAUUCAUAAAAUUAAGUAAUCAAAAAGAGAAGGAGUCUAAACACCAAAUUAAAGCUUAACAUCAAAUGGACAAUCUGACAAUCAUAUCAAAUAGUUUUAAGAAAUUGUAUCAUUUUGAUACGUAAAUUUCACAUGAGUUAUUAGUUGUGAAGAUGUCAUAUAAUGUUUGAAGAUAAUAUAUAAAAAUUUAUCAAUAUCCAUUACAUUAUUAUAGCAUCACAAUAAAUUAUACAACUUCAGAUGUACAUUAUGUUCAUCCCACAAAUAUUCGAAAAUAAGAUGAAAUAGAGUAGACUAAAAACAAUGAAAUAGCUAAUGAAUUCUAAAACCUUCAAAUAACAAAAAUUAAAGAGAGAAACCGUUCCAGUUUAAAAGAAUGGAGGAACUUCCUCAAUAACUAACAAAAGCAUAAAUAGAUUUACCUCUUUUUUAUUGCAUAUGUGAUGAGCAAUAACAUCCAUCAACAAUUAUACAUUAGAAUAACUACGUGUGUGCAUUAACAUAAAGUGAUAGUGAUGAGCAAUAUAAUUACAUCCACCAAUAAUCAUCCAUCAACAAUUAUACAUCGGAAUAACAAAGUGUAUGCAUUAAUAUAAAGUGAUUUUGAAAACAAUUUUUUGGUACGUAUAAUUAUAAGUCAUGAAUUAUAAAAGUCAUUUAAAAAUUGAUGAUAUACAUAACAUCUAUGAGAAUUAGAUUGGUUAAAGUUGGGAUAUGUAAAGUUUCUAACUAAAAUUUAAUUAUGUGUGUCAUAUUAAGAUGUCUGGUAAUUCAAAGGACAUUUUGUUGUUUAAUGUUCAAGGAUAUUUCAGUUUUUAAAGGAUAUAAAUAUUUUUGACCAUUGCCUCAGUGAGGUCGAGGAAGCAUCUUCAGAUCAGGAUGAAAUCUUUAUAUUUGCAUUCAAACAUUGUAAAAGAAAUCUAGUAUAGGUAGGAAUUGAGAUAAUUUGCUCCAGAAAGAACUCUUCUUGCAUUUUGUUUCCUUUGUUGCUCUGCAUAUGACCUUCAAUUUCAGUCAUUGUUUCAAAUUUUGUUUGCUCUGGUUCGACUCUGUGUUUAGUGUUUCUGAGUUUUUCUUCUCUUUUUUUUUUCAUCAGACUCUACUCUAUUUGUCGGCAAUCUUCUUUCUUUGUUUACCUGCUUUUGUUCUUGGGUGGAUCGAAUAUAAACAUUUGUGUACAUCUUUGGCUCUUCUUUGUUUGAUUCACUUUCUUCAAUUAGAUCAGAAAAUAUUUCUCUGAAGGCAUGUUGAUUUUAUUAUUUUACACGAUUUCUGUUUGUGUUACUUUUUCGAUUUCUAAUUUGUUUUAUUCAUGUUUUUUACAGUUUAAUUUUUGAUGCUUCCGAGUUUCAGCAGUCCUGAUUCCUGAUGUUUUCUGGGUGAGCAUGGUUCUCUCCUUUUUCAAGUUAACAACUUAUUUUAUAUUACUUUUGCUGAGAUUGAUUGUGAGUUGCAAGUUUCGCAAUGCAAUUUUUGUAUUAUGAAUCCUUGAUGGACUAUGGUGAAAAUUUACUUUUCUUUGUAGAAAAAACAUCAAAGAAUUAUACUACUAUACAAAUCAGGUUUGUUAAUAUUGAUACUGCUGAUGUUAAUAAUCACUUGGCUAUUGUGAAAUAUGUUGAGGAUAUUUACAAAUUUUAUAAGCUCACAAAGGUCUGGUGAAUAUCAGAUGUCUCUGUUUCAAUGCUGGGGUGAUUUUACUGUUAUAGUGGAUACGGUGAGUUACUUUAAUGUGACAAACAAUAGUUUUGUGAUUUUAUUGUGUAGUGUAUAAAAUUCAUGUUAUUUUGAUAAUUUGGCUGAUUCAGGAUGAACGUUGAUUGUAUUAUUACAUGGAUUCACAACCACACAUCAACGCCAGGGUCAAAGCUAGCAAUUUUUCUGGAAGGUUGAACUACUUGAAAAACAUGAAAGCUACAUUACUUCACACAGUUGCGAGAUGAAGAGAAACUUUUUAGGAUCUAUUGUCAAUAUUUUUAGCAUUGUUAGUACUGUAACUCUCAACUAAAAGCUGGACAAAGUUACAAUUUUCAUCAAAAAUCGGUAAUGGCAGAGGGGCGUUUCUUUGGUUAUUGCUCAAAACUACAACUGCUAGUGAUUAUUUCUCAUGUAGUGAUUUUUUUAUGGAAUCAAUGUGUUAUCAAAACAUUUACGUUUAGUUAUGUUAUAACACAAACAGUUGAGGAUUGCACAACCUUACUACUAAAUGUUCAGAAAUAGACUUCUUUCUUGAAGGAGGAUUGCCAUUCAAUUGACGACUUGUGAUCAUCAAUUGCGAGAAGCUGGUGAGUGGCCGAAACGAUUGGCAUCUCAAAGAGUUUAUAUGUGAUCUAGCAGAACACAAUAGAUUGGGAGGGGGUGGAGACAGGUUUUUCUGAUUAAAUUUGGCACUAGUACUCGAUUUCUUGAGUUUUUGCUUCAGUAAAAGGGAAAAAAGGCUAUUUCUUAGUCUGUAUUUUGUAGUUUUAGCAAACAAGCAUAUUGCUAACUGGUGUCAAUAAACCAAGAGUGUAUUGUACCUUUUUCAGGACAAUUAUGUUAUAUUAUAUGUUGGAUGUUUAUUUGUUAUUUCAUUUCCAUAAAACGGUGGAUCGUUGAUUUCAGUUCAUUCAUUGGGACAGAGUUGUACAUGGACCUAAAUAGGGACCUUACCACUAUCUUGUAGGGUAGAGAGGUUGUUUCCGAUAGACCAUCGGCUCAAGUAAACAUAGAAAAAAUAAUACCUUAGAGAAAAGGAAAAUGGAACAGAAUCCAAUUCUAAAACGUAUUCAUGAUAUGUUAGACCCAAUUAAGCACUACAAUGAGCUGUUGAAAAAUGAACAGUGCAUAAAGCAAAAGUAGUGAAUAAACAUAAAGCAAAAGAUAUCUUCCUCCAUUAUUCAAUUAGUGGAGUCAUACUUUUUGAAAAGAGAAAAGAGGACAGUUUUGCUUCUUGUAGAUUAGCUGAAACAUAGUUGUACUAAUUUCAAGCAAUCACUGAUCAUUCUUGUUUGCAAAUUACUCUCAACAUUCAACAGGUAAAGAAGUUCUCUCUUAGUAGUUGAAGCUAGAUAGAAAAAUUUGUCUUCUCAUCAAAAUCAUUUUGUGUUUUUCAGAAAUGGAGAUUGGCUUAGCAGUUGGUAGUGCAUUUCUCUCUUCAGCUUUGAAUGCUCUCUUUGAUAGGCUUGCUCCUCACGGUGAUCUGCUCAACAUGUUUCAGAAGCAUAAGCAUCAUGUUCGGCUCUUAAAGAAGCUGAAAAUGACUUUGCGUGGUCUUCAGAUUGUGCUAAGUGAUGCAGAGAAUAAGCAAGCAUCAAAUCCAUCUGUGAGUGACUGGCUUAAUGAGCUUCGAGAUGCUGUCGACUCUGCUGAAAACUUAAUAGAAGAAGUCAAUUAUGAAGCUUUGAGACUUAAGGUGGAAGGUCAACAUCAGAAUUUUGCAGAAACAAGCAACCAGCAGGUAAGUGACCUCAAUCUGCGCUUGAGCGAUGAAUUUUUCCAUAACAUAAAGGACAAGUUGGAAGACACUAUUGAAACAUUAAAGGAUUUGCAAGAGCAAAUUGGUCUCCUUGGCUUAAAGGAGUAUUUUGGUUCCACGAAACAAGAAACUAGAAGACCUUCAACUUCUGUGGAUGAUGAAUCUGAUAUCUUUGGUAGGCAGAGCGAAAUAGAGGAUUUGAUUGACCGUUUAUUGUCUGAAGAUGCAAGUGGGAAAAAGCUGACAGUAAUUCCUAUUGUGGGAAUGGGUGGCCUGGGUAAGACAACACUUGCUAAAGCCGUUUACAAUGAUGAGAGGGUGAAGAACCACUUUGGUUUGAAAGCUUGGUAUUGUGUUUCUGAGGGAUAUGAUGCUUUGAGAAUAACGAAAGGGUUACUUCAAAAAAUUGGCAAAUUUGACUCAAAGGAUGUCCACAACAAUCUUAAUCAGCUUCAAGUCAAAUUGAAGGACAGCUUGAAGGGAAAGAAGUUCCUUACUGUUUUGGAUGAUGUGUGGAAUGACAACUACAACGAGUACAUCAGAAUUUUGCAGAAACAAGCAACAAGCAAGUGACCUCAACCUUUGCUUGACUGAUGAAUUUUUCCUUAACAUAAAGGACAAGUUGGAAGACACUAUUGAAACAUUAAAGGAUUUGCAAGAGCAAAUUGGUCUCCUUGGCUUAAAGGAGUAUUUUGGUUCCACGAAACAAGAAACUAGAAGACCUUCAACUUCUGUGGAUGAUGAAUCUGAUAUCUUUGGUAGGCAGAGCGAAAUAGAGGAUUUGAUUGACCGUUUAUUGUCUGAAGAUGCAAGUGGGAAAAAGCUGACAGUAAUUCCUAUUGUGGGAAUGGGUGGCCUGGGUAAGACAACACUUGCUAAAGCCGUUUACAAUGAUGAGAGGGUGAAGAACCACUUUGGUUUGAAAGCUUGGUAUUGUGUUUCUGAGGGAUAUGAUGCUUUGAGAAUAACGAAAGGGUUACUUCAAAAAAUUGGCAAAUUUGACUCAAAGGAUGUCCACAACAAUCUUAAUCAGCUUCAAGUCAAAUUGAAGGACAGCUUGAAGGGAAAGAAGUUCCUUACUGUUUUGGAUGAUGUGUGGAAUGACAACUACAACGAGUGGGAUGACUUGAGAAAUAUAUUUGUGUACAAGGAGAUAUAGGAAGUAAGAUCAAGAUCAUUGUGACGACACGCAAAGCGAGUGUUGCCUUGAUGAUGGGAAAUGAGCAAAUUAGCAUGGACAGUUUGUCUAAUGAAGCCUCUUGGUCUUUAUUUAAAAGACAUGCAUUUGAAAACAUGGAUCCUAUGGGACAUCUGGAACUUGAAGAGGUCGGAAAACAAAUUGCAGCUAAGUGCAAAGGACUGCCCUUAGCUCUGAAGACGCUCGCUGGCAUGUUACGCUCCAAAUCAGAGGUUGUAGAGUGGAAACGUAUUCUGAGAAGUGAAAUAUGGGAGCUGCGAGACAAGGACAUAUUACCAGCGUUGAUGUUGAGCUACAAUGAUCUUCCCGCACAUUUAAAGCGAUGUUUUUCCUAUUGUGCAAUAUUUCCUAAAGAUUAUUCAUUUAGGAAAGAGCAAGUUAUUCAUCUUUGGAUUGCCAAUGGUCUCGUACCAAAGGAAGAUGAAAUAAUUGAAGAUUCAGGCAACCAAUACUUUCUCGAAUUGAGGUCAAGAUCAUUAUUCGAAAGGGUCCCAAAUCCUUUUGAAGGGAACAUAGAGAAAUUCUUAAUGCAUGACCUUGUCAAUGACUUAGCCCAAAUUGCAUCUUCAAAACUUUGUAUCAGGUUGGAAGAGAGCCAAGGAUCUCAUAUGUUGGAAAAAAGUCGGCACUUAUCUUAUUCAAUGGGAAAAGGUGGUGAGUUUGAGAAAUUAACACCCCUCUACAAAUUGGAGCAGCUGAGGACAUUGCUUCCGAUAUUUUUUGAUGUCAAUCAUGACUCUCUAAGCAAGAGGGUGCAGCAUAACAUACUGCCAAGACUAAGAUCCUUAAGGGCAUUAUCAUUGUCUCAUUACAGGAUUAAGGAGUUGCCGGAUGACUUGUUUAUCAAAUUAAAGCUCCUGAGAUUUUUGGAUAUUUCUAAGACAGAGAUUAAUAAGUUGCCAGAUUCCAUUUGUGGAUUGUAUAAUUUAAAGACACUUCUCCUGUCAUCUUGUGAUUAUCUUGAGGAGCUACCACUGCAGAUGGAGAAGUUGAUCAACUUGAGUCAUCUUGACAUAAGCAACACUUCUCGCUUGAAGAUGACACUACAUCUGAGCAAGUUGAAAAGCCUCCAAGUGCUAGUGGGAGCCAAGUUUCUUCUAGAUGGUUGCUCACACCAUUACUAGAAUUUGACGAGGGAGAAUACUGGCCAAAUAUUGCUCAAAUUCCCACCAUUGUGAUUGAUCGGGAGUUCCUAUGAUGAUUAAAACAAAUGGCUCUCCAACUGAUGUAAGUUAUUCUUUUCCUUUUUUAAAAAUCUUGUUGAGCAGUCUAUUGCUCAAACCACGGCUACUGACCAAAAAUUGUUCAUAUUUUUUUUUUCUAUUUAGAAACGGGAGUUUGGAAGGAUUCACAAUGGCAAGCCUGAUUCCUGAAGUUUUCUAGGUGAGCAUGGUUGUCUCCUUUUCAAGUUAACAACUUAUUUAUAUUAAUUUUGCUGCUAUUGAUUGUCAGUUGCAAGUUUCGCAAUUCAAUUUAUGUGUUACUACAUCUGGGAACGUGCGUUGCACGUUUAUCCCAAAAUACUUUAUAUAAAUUUUGUAUUGCAAAUAACAUAUUCUAUCCCCUCUAAAUCUAUAGUAUUUACUAAAAAAAAAUUCAUCACAUAUAUCUUUAUAAAUAUAUAUAUAUAUAUAUGAUUAUUAAAUUGACUAAAAGUGUAUAGAGUAAAAAUAACUUCCAAGUAAUAGUCAUCAGUUAGAUGAGAUAAUAGAUGUAGAUAGAGAUAUAGAAAUAUUCAAGCAAAAUAAAUUAAAAUUAUUAAAUCCACAAGUUCUAUAUAAUACAGGACUAUUUUCGUCAAUAGCACACUUAUACAGACAUUAUAGAGAAGAACAAUUGAGUGUAUCAGAAAACGAUAGUGAAAGUAUAAAUUUAAUUAGUAAAUAAUCUAUGCAAGAAAUACAAAAAAGACGAAUGAAUCUCAUGCAUAUGAGAUUGGUAGUAAUCGGACUUAAAGGUUUAACUAGAAAAAAUUUAGGUACUAAAGUAUUAAUCACUUUAUAUGAUAGUAGAUGGUCAGAAUCUAAAAGAUCCAUAAUAGGUUUAACAGAAGUCGACAUGAGUAAUAAUGGAGGAAUUUUUUACUGUAGUCCAGAUUUCAUGAUAAAUUCAAAAGAAUUUGGAAAAUACAUAAAAAUAGGCAUACAAACCAAGGGUUACGAAGAAAUGAACUGUGGAAACAAUCUAUUAGUUUGUGUUGGCUUCAUAGGAAAAUUAGCAACCAACAGUAGUUCAAGGUUUAAAAUAAAAAUAGACAAUGCGGUAGGCAUAAUGGGAAAUAAAGGAAUAAAAUUAAUGAAACUUUUAAAAAUAAAUUCAGAAGAAUAUGCAGGUAGAGAAUGGAAUUUAGAAAAAUUCUAUAAAAAAGAAGUGUUAAGACCAAAUGACCACCUCACAUACACAAAUAAUAAAGGUGAGACAUCAAUCAGAUUCACUGAUUAUAAAUAUACAAAUCAAAAGAAAUAGAUGAAGAUUUAGAAGAUAAUGAAUCAACCAUAAAUAUGGAAGGAAUGAAUGUUCAGAUCAAUAAAGAAGAAGACUAUGAAGUAGAUAUAUCAAUAGCAAAAGCUAAAGAAAUACACAAGUCAAAUAAAGAAAAUUUAUUUAAAUGUAAAGGAUGUAAACUAGGAAAACUAAAAUUUUCUAUAGUAGAAAAACACUUCAAAGAGUGUAAUUUUAGAACAGACAAUUAUGGAUUUCGCCAGAAAGAAAAAACACAGGAAGAAAGUGAUGAUGAAACAACACGUAGUUUAAAAGAAUUAGAUGAAAGCGAUGAUGAAACAACACGCAGUUUAAAAGAAUUUAUGGAAACCGCUUCUUCAAGCUCAAGUCCCUUCCAAAAGACAACCCCAAUACCACCAAUAGAAUAUACUAUAGGUAAUUUACCACAACACCGUGUAUUUAGACAAGACCCGAUGACAGAACCAGAAAUGGUUAGACCUAUAGGAAUAAUAAUGCCAAUAGAAGCCCCCAUCAAACUCCAAGACAGGGGAGAUAGAUGAAAAAUACUAAAUAUAUCGGCUCAUGACCCUCAAUUAUGGAACUCAGUACUAGAUGUAUGGAAAGGAGUAGUAGUAGCAGACAACAUACACCAUUAUAGUGAAACAGAUGCAGAAACUAUGUAUAGAUACAUGGAAACCUUUCUAGGAGAAUCAAUCAAAGGAGUAUGGGAAGAAUAUAAGGUAGCUUACCCUCAAGAAUUCCAAGAACUAGUAAAUAUAGGACCAAACUCGUAUAAUUUUACUAAUAAAAUACACAGCCUGAUAACAGGAGAAGACCCAAAUAGCGGAUUAGUAGUGUUACAAAAGAAUGCACUAAUAAAAUUAGAACAACUUAGCAAAACAAAUUGGAGUCAUAUAAAGAAUUUUUUAAAAGACUAUUUUUACUAUUGCGCUAUAAGCGGUAAUGCGUUUGACCAAAGCUUGGGGAAAAAACUUUUUAACAAACUCCCUGGAGCCUUAGGAAGAGAAAUAGAGGAAAGAUGGAACAAAAGAGAGGGAGUAAUGACAAAACCCAAAUGCCAACUGGUCUAUAGGACAUAAAAUACAACAUGUCAUGGAAAUAUUACAAGAGAAAUGUACAAAUAUACAAAUACAAAAAUAAUUAAAACAAAAUGAGACUAGUUUUUGUAAGAAUAUAUAUACAACACAAAGCUAUGAUCAAAGUACACCAAAAAGAAAAUACAGAAAGACAUAUCAAAAUAACCAAGACUACAAACCUAGGAAAAGGUAUUAUCUAAGAAAAUCUACGGCAAAAAAACCUUACCUAAAUAAAGAUAGACAUGUAAGAAAACAAUAAUAAUAAUAAUAGAAUUUACAAAAAUAAGACUAUCUUGUUUUACUAUGUGGAAGUGAAGAACAUCUAGCUAAUACUUGUCCAGGUAGAAAUAAUAGUAGAACAAGAAAUGCCCAACUUAUAGAAGACUUCCAAGAAACCCUGAUAAAUGUAGAUGAAUACAAGUCAGAUAAUGAGAGCAUAUAUUUAGUAAUAAGCAUAGAUGCUAUAGAAGGAAGACAACAAGAUUCGUCUGAUUCAGAAGAAGAAACUUUAAUAAACGAGAUAGGAUUAGAAAAAUUAGACUUAAACAUGAAAGAUUUUACCUUUGUUAAUAUACAAUGCGAUCACCAAUUCUCCAAAGCAAAAGGGUUAGAUAGUCAAAAAUGCUUUAAUUGCACAUGAUACCCCAGUAAAGACAGAAGAGCUAAAUGUAUGAACUGCUAUGUAGAGGGAUGCCUUAUGUGCAUCGACAUGAUAUUUAACAUAAAAGUUAUAGACCAAACAAGAAGUACAAAAGAAAAAACAUUAAUAUCUUUAGAAAAAAGGAUUGAUAAUUUAGAGGACAGAAUAAGUAAAUUAGAAAAGGGAAAAGAAAAAUUAGAAGAGGGAACCAACCAAAACACAACGCCAAAAGAGGAAAUCGAGCUCUUAAAUGAAAAGGAGGACUAUAAAUCAUUUGAGGGAUUAAUUUGUAAUGAAGACAAGAAAAUUAAUACUAUCAAAAUAUUAACAAGAAUAAGAAUUCAAGACUACGAAAUAGAAACUUUAGCUCUAGUAGACUCUGGAUGUAAAAGUAUAAUAGAUAGAAGUAUCCUGCCUCUAGAUAUAAUAAAAUAAUUUCCAGAGCCACAAAGCGCCAUGCAAAUGGAUGGAUCUUCAAAUGUAUAUAAACAUUAUGUUAGUAAUGCUCAAAUAAGUUUUUUAAAUACAUGUGAAAACUUUUAUAAACACAUGUAUAGAUUAGAAAAAAUAUGGGUUAGAGACUUAAAUAUUAUAGUAGACUUUGUUUUAGGUUUAGACUUCUUAUUACAUAACAACGGAUGUUGUCGCCUUACUAGAGACGGAGUAAUAUUCUCUAAAAAUAUGACUCAUACCUCAAUAACAACAGAAUCGUUUCCAACGAAAUCUAGGUAUCUUAAAAAUACUGAUAAACUUAAUACAAACACUUCAAAAUGUAAUAAAGGAGAAGAAUGUAAUUAUACUAAGAUACAUGUUAUUGAAGAAGAAAUUGAAUUAUUAGAGCUAAGUUUAUCUGAUAUACAACUAGAGAAAAGUUAUAACUUAAUAGAAAUAAAUACAGAAUUUUAUAAUUUCAAAAAAGGAUUACAACAUAUAGGAGUCAUAAAAAAUCAAAAAGACCUAGAGGAGGUAAUUUCCAUCUUAGAUAAAUUAGAGAUAAUUGGAGAAAGACCUUUAAAGCACUGGGAAGCCAAUCAUAUAACUUGCAGACUGGAUAUCAUUAACCCAGAAUAUACUGUUAAAACUGAUUCAAUAGAAUCCACAAAUGAAGACCUAAAGGAAUUUGAAGAUCAGAUAAAAGAAUUACUAAAUUAGGGAGUGAUAAGAAGAUCAACUUCAAGACAUAGGUCAUCAACAUUUGUGGUAAGAAAUCAUAAUGAAAUAUUAAGAGGAAAAGCUAGAAUGGUAAUAAACUAUAAAAGACUUAAUGACAAUACCAAAAUGGAUGGAUAUAAGUUGCCAGAAAGAUCAAAAUUAAUAAAUCGAAUGCAAGGAAGAAUUUUUUUUAGUAAGUUUGAUUGUAAAUUCGAAUACUGGCAAGUCAAAAUGUAUGAAGACAGUAUAGAAUAGAAAACUUUCACUUGCCCAGAAGGACAUUUCGAAUGGUUGGUAAUGCCCUUCGAUUUAAAAACAGCUCCUCCGAUCUUUCAGAGAAAGAUGGACAAUAUAUUUAGAGAUUAUAAAAAUUUUAUUUUAGUAUAUGUAGACGAUAUCUUAGUAUUUAGUAAUAAUGCCAACAAACAUCUAAGACAUUUACAAACGGUGUUUAAAUUAUUUGUAGACAAUGGAAUUAUAAUUAGCAAAAAGAAAAUGGAAUUAUGUAAAAAACUAACAGUGGUUUCUCCUCCAACAGUCAAGUAACUAGCACUGGUUAUUCCAGCAAGAGCUCUUACUCUAACAGAACUAGUACCGUCAACUCCAAUUGUAGCAGCAGGAAUGUCUUCACCACCAGAUAAAUCUUAUAAAAUUCCUAGGGGUAGAAAUUGGAAAUGGAAAGAUAAAAUUACAACCCCAUAUAGCAAAAAAGGUUCUCGACAUGCUUGAUAAAUUAGAUAAUACUAAAGACUUACAAAAAUUUCUAGGAAUAUUAAAUUAUGCACGAAGUUUUAUAAAAGACCUAGGAAAAGUAACAGGACCCUUAUAUUCUAAAACAGGAAUUCAUAGGCAGAAGACAUUCAAUAUGGAAGACAUAAAAUUAGUACAAAAGCUUAAACAAAUGGUUAAAAAUAUACCAGAUCUAGCCCUCCCACUAAAAACUGACUGCCCAAUAGUGGAAACCGACAAAAGUCUAGAAGGAUGGGGAGCAGAAUUAAAAACAAAGAACAAUAAAUAUAUAGAAAAGAAAGACGAAAAAAUUUACGCCUAUCACAGUGAAAAAUACAAGGAAAAAGGAAACAUGAGUAGCAUAGAUGCAGAAAUUCUAGUAGUCAUAUAUGGACUAAAUAGCUUUAAAUUAUUUAUUAUUAAUAAAAAAGAAAUUUUAGUAAGAACUGACUGCAAAGCUUUUGUAAAAUUCCACCAGAAAAUAGAAGGAAAAAAUAGUAGUAAGAGAAGAUGGCUAAAUUUUUUAGACGCUACAUCAAUAUACAAUAUAUUUUUAGAAUAUAUAAACGGAAAAGAUAAUUCCUUAGCAGAUCAACUAAGCAGACUCAUGAAAACUAAUUAUUUAUUUUCAGAAUGAGUACAUGUAAGAACAAAGACAAGGCAUCCAGUUCAAGUUCAAGUAAUAGUGGGCAAAAAGACAAAGAUAUAUACUUAUAGACAUUAUUGGGAAACACUUCGUUUAGACCACAUACAAGAGAAGAAGAUGCAAGGAUAAAUACUCCUAUAGAAAGACUAUACUUUGGAAGACAAAAUUUAAUAUUUUAUCCUCCAUCUAAUUUAAGUUUCAGAGUAAAGCCAGAAACAAAAAUAGAUAAACAUCAAAGAUGUUUGAUAGACAAUCUAUGGAUAGCAUAUAACAAAAUUUUGAAAGACAAUAGCUAUUUUAUUUCAGUAUUAAACUCAGUAAGUUAUUAUUUUACGGAGAAAAAUGAAGACAAAAAGUUUAAAUUCUACGUAGUAGUUCGAGGAAAGCUAGCAGGCAUCUUCCAGACUUGGAUCGAGGUGAUAGACUCAAUUAAAGACUUUCCUACCCCAUUUUUCAAAGGAUUCAACGAUUUAAAUAAAGCACUAGACUAUGCUAGAGGAACUCUUGGGCCAAAUUAUUUCAUAAGCCCAGCUUUAAGACAAACUUCAAGACCUUUCCUGCAAUACAAUAUUCGAAAGGAUACUGACAAGAUAAUCUUCUGCGAUCAUUGUUCUUCAAUGACUGAAGGAUUCAAAAUACUAAACCAGACAAUUGAGAAACUAGAGACUGAGAAAGGGGAACUGACACAACAUAUCCACUCAUUACAAGAAAAAAUAAGGUUCUUCCUUGGAAAUACUAAUCAAACCAUACCAUUACAAAUACAAGACUACUCAAAAGGACCAAAGAGUUCUCCAUCUCAUCUUAAAAUGGAUAAGACGGGUGUUCAUCCUCCAACGAAUGUAGAAAGAGCUAUUGUAUCAGCUAAAUGUACAACUAGUCCCGUUCAAAUGGUAGCGGGUAAAGAUUCAUCAAAUCCGUUGAUGGCUGACACUUUGCCAAAAAGUGUUAAAAACAAAUUUGAAAAUAUUUGUUAAAAACAAACUUAAUUUUUUUGAAAUUGGGGGGUGGGGGGUCGCGGGUAGGGAGUGGNNNNNNNNNNNNNNNNNNNNNNNNNNNNNNNNNNNNNNNNNNNNNNNNNNNNNNNNNNNNNNNNGGGGAGGGGGUCGAGGGUAGGGGUGGGGUGGGAUGAAAAAUAAAAAAUUUAAAUUGGAAAUAUUUUUUUAAAAAAAAUUAUUUUUUUUGUGGGGGGGAGGGGUAGGGGGUGAGGUAAAAAAAUUUAAAAUUGAAGGCUUUAAAUUUAUUUUUUUCAACAAAAAAAUAAUAAUUGUAAUUUGAAGUUGGAGAGAGUUUUGGAAAACGUUUUUCUUAAUUUUUUGAAAGUAAGUCAUUUUCCUUAAAUUUGAGAAAAAUGAGUUAAUUUGAAAAUCAUUCUCCAAAACGUUUUACCCAACCAAAUAUGAUAAAAUUGAAAUACAUUUUCCGAAAAUGUUUUCCUUCAUACCAAACACACCCAAUAUGAUGAAUCAAUGAUGGAUUAUGGUGAAAUUUACUUUUUUCAUAGAAAAAUAUCAAAGAAUUAUACUAUUCAUGUUUGAUAAAAUAUCCUUCAAUAAGACCUGGUGAAUAUCAUAUGUCUCUGUUUCGAUGCAUCUUAUAAAUCCUAUUGAAAUUCUGUGAGGUUGCUCGUGUCCUUUGGUUGGUGGGCUUAAUUUUUUGAACUGUGAAUGCAUCUUAACAUAAUUUUGAUUUUUGAUGGGUUCUCCAAAUCUAACAAUUUUAUUUGGGAUCCCUUUUUUUAGGGGGAAAGUCUCAAAUGGGAAAUAAAGUUGGCACUUUGAAGAUUUUGAAGCUAGAAUUUGUGAGCUCUCUCUUUGUCUACACAAAUUUCAAACGGCCUGUUAUAGCUUCAAGGUAAUCGUCUUCGGAAAUUUGAAUUCUUUUGGUUCUUAUUUUAAUCUUGCACAAAAGUGUAACAUUUACCCUUUGUUUGGAUCAUUGUUACCCAUUAUAUUGUAUCGUUACUAUACCUACAAUGUUUGUUUUGAUUAUUACUUAAAAUAUAUUGUAUUGUAUUGUUAAAUUUCGUUGUUACGUAACAAUGAAAACCUCUAUUUUAUGGAACAACCAAUUUGGUGUGUUCCCAAUUGUUACUUAAUUUCUUUUUCCAAUUAUAUCUUUUACAUAAUAUUUCAAAAUACUAUUUUAUCCUUUACCUUAUAUUAUUUAAUUCUAAUCAAACCUCCUACUCUACAUAUAUACAAAUGGCUUACAUAUACCAUUUUCCUCUAACAGAGAUGAAAAAAAUUAAUUUUAGUUUAAUUUUUUUUAAAAAAAAAAAAACUAUAAUCCCAUAUGAGUAUAUUUAAUCCUCCUCAAACAUAUAUUUUUUUUGUUUCAAUGACUAAUUUAAAUUUAUUAUUUUAAUGGUCAAAUUUAUUUAUGUUUCACUAAUAUUCUUGUAAAACUUAUUAUUGUUUACAUCUCCGCUUUAUUCAAAUAGGGCGAAACGUCCUGAUGACUCAAAAAAUAAACAAUUGAUUCAAUUUUAAAUUUUUUUUAAGAAAAUAAGAAUUUUAAAGGAGUCACCACCUAAUUUUAGGAAACCAAUUAAAUGAUCUACGAAACCAAGAAAUUUUAGGUAAGGGGUUCAAGUUAAUUCGAAGGAAAAGUGUUAGGCAUCAUUCGAAAUUCACAAUUGUGAGUUCCGACCGAAUUCAUUUUUUCAAAUUGAGGAGGAAGUAAAAAUAGUAUACAAAUAUAACAAACAUACAAUAUACACAAGUAAUAUGAGAAACGACCUAAUAUUUGCCUAUCAUCAAUAAUAUACAUAAUAAUGAUUAUAAUAUUCGAACUUUAUUCGAAUGGCUUCGAUGAGAAACGACUUCGGGGUACCUAUAAAGACACUUAAUAAAAGUGUUAAUACUAAAUAUAUAUGAAUAAAAAUAAAUAAAGCAAAUAAUAACUUAAAAAUAAAAACUCAUCUUAUUAACAUAGGAGGCCUUAGAAAUAGACUGUAAUUUCUUCAUCGGCCAAUUUUAACAAAUAAAAUAUACAAACUUAAAUUAAAUUUUCGUCUUUUGCAAUGUAGAGGCCUCCAAAACCGACGGAAAUUUUUUUUCAUUAGGCAAAUUAUAGCAUUUACUUAACAUGAAUUAAGGAAAUAAUCCUAUAGUAAAAUUGACAAAACCCUUCGGGGUGGCCCAGUGGUUUGGGCUUGGGACUUCCAUGUUGGAGGUCUCAAGUUCGAAACCCCUUGCCAGCGAAAGCAAGGGUUUGCCCUCUGGGUCGAGCUCAUCGCACCGGGCUUGCCUAGUGCGGGUUACCUCUCCUAUGUGGUUUGCGAGCUAUUGCAUAAGAGCGGGGGUUUUACCCUGUGCGCAUCCAAAGGGUAGCAGCUGCGGGUUUCCCUUGUCAUCAAAAAAAAUAAAAUUGACAAACAUUAUAUUUAAACUAGCUCAAAAAGAAUAACAAAUUAAUAACGGACAAUGCACAGAUAAUGAUAAAAUAAUUUCGACACUUUUCUAAAAAAAACAACUACUAGUGCUAACAACAUCAAAGAAAUAAAUAAAUUAAGAAGAAUAAUGGAAGUAAAAUCUGUAAUCUAAACAAAAAUAAAAAUAAAAAAUGAAACCGAACACCACAAUCACAAUAGUAUCUAAAUGAAGUAUAAUCUGUAACCGAUUAAAAUAAUAAUAACAAUAAUAAACAAAAGAGGAAACAAAGGCAUAAUAAUAACAAUAAAAUAAAUCCACAACUUAGAGAAAAUUACAAUACUCAACCUUCUUUAAUUAAUAAUUAGAAAUUACCAUUAUGUGCCACUUUAUACGAAUUGAGAGAAUUAACCACAAAUAAAUAGACUAAUCAAGAAUAGCUAACUAUAGUAUCCAAAAUAAACUAAACAAAAAUAAUGGAUUCGAAAGCACAUUCAUAAACUGUAAACGUAAACAAUAAUAAAAAGAAAUCAAGGAAUAACAGAUACAAAAAUUACCGAUCCCGGUCUGGUUCCUGGCGACUUCGUUGUUUUGAGCUACUAUUCGCCGGAGUUGUUUUGCCAGAGUUCGGAAUGUUGGUUGUUGUUAUUGUUACCUCCUGGAGGAGCUCGUGGGUGGAGCUGGUGUGGUCAGCCUCUGGUUUCGAUGAGUUGGAGCUUGGAGCUCACUGGCUGUUGUUCGCCUGGGCUUCGUGGGUUUUGAGCUACUUCUUGCUGGGGUUGCUGGUUCAACGAGCAAAGGGGAGAACGAGGAUGGGGUUUUGGGUUGGUUUCGCCGGAAAAAGGGUGAAGAGAGUUGGGGUCUUAGUGGUGGUUUUGGUGGUGAUUUUGGCUGAAGGGUGGUGGCGUUUGGGUGGGUUGGAGAGCUGCUGGUUGCAGCAGAGAAAACAGGAGGGGUUUUGGGUCUGUUUGGUUGGCUGAUUUUGUGGAUUUGGGGUCUAUUUGGAUCGUGGUUUUGCCGGAAAAAGAGGUGAACGGAGAUGGUUUGUUGGGUUGGAGUUUCUCGGAGGUUGUUUGGUUGUUGUUAAUGGUUGUUUUCGGUGGCUUUUGGUCUUUGGUGGUGGCUGGAUUGUUGCUGGAAACGAAAAGGGGGGUGAGCACUGGCUCGCCGGAAAUGGAGUUUGAGUGGUGAUGAGGAAGGAGGGUGGCGGCAGCUUUGACAAGAUGAUAGAAAAAUCGUUUUUGGUUUCAGUCAUUUUGAAAUUUUUCACCACUUGGACUAAAAAUAUUGUUCAUCCUCUUCACUUAAUGAAUAAGCUAUUGUUUAUAUAGAAAAUUGAAAAUUAUCUAUAGUAUAAUACGAUUAUCUUAAAAUCAUGGGCUGAAACCAUUAGUUAAAUAAAAUAUUUGUAUAUAAAUCUUAUUUAUAUUUGAAUCAAUUUUUAGACAGUGCAAAAUAUCAAAAUUAAUAUUAGCAAAUGUAACAAAUAAAAAUGAAUAUUAUUAAAAAAAAGGAAAGUAAUGAACGUAACAAAUGACAUGUAUAAAGUGCAAUUUAAUAGAAAUAACUAUUUAAUCAAGAUGAACAAAUAUUUGAACGUAUUUAACCAGCUAUGACAAAAAAUAAUGAAAUUAAAAUUAACUGAUAAAAAAUCCUAAAUUUUGACAAAUAAAAAUAAUUAUCGAUAAACUUAUUUAAAAUUAUAAAAAAUGUAUUUUGAACAAUUAAAUAAAUAAAACUUAAAAGUUACGAAUUUUGAAAAUGUUAGGUCAAAAUUGGGUGUCAACAAUUAUAGAUGACCUUUUUUUUUUCUUCAAAUACAAAAAUUAAAUUACAAUAUAGACAAAAAAAAAAUUGUUUUAAAUUAUAAUAUAGCUGCAAAAAAAUAGUUUUAAUUUUUUUUUCUUUACACCAAGGAAUGAAAGAAAAAAUAAAAUAAGAAUAAGAAACUAAAAUAAUGAAAAUCAAAGAAGUCAAAAAAUAAUUUAUGUAUGAAAAAAAUUGAAAUAUACCUUGAACUUUGCAGAAGAAUCUUAUAUAUCCCUAAAUGAUUUUUAAAACAAUUAAAAGUCAAAAAUAUAAAUUUAAAAUUAAUUUUUUCACUUCCGUUAAAUGAAGAUAUAUGUGAGCUCAUUUUGUAACGAUAGGGUAUAUGUGAGCCGUUUAUAUAACAACAAAGGUAUAUAUGAGUCACUUUCAUAACGAGGACAUAUCAACUCUAAAUAAAAAAAUUGACAGGUAUAUCAGACCCUUUUCCCUAGAAAAAAUAAUACCUUAGAGAAAAGGAAAAUGGAACAGAAUCCAAUUCUUCACAAUUCUAAAACGUAUUCAUGAUAUGCUAGGCCAAACUAAGCACUACAAUGAGCUGUUGAAAAAUGGACAAGUGCACAAAGCAAAAAGUAACGAAUAGACAUAAAGCAAAAGAUACCUUCCUCAAUUAUUCAAUUAGUGGAGUCAUACUUUUUGAAAAGAGAAACGAGGACAGUUUUGCUUCUUGUAGAUUAGCUGAAACAUAGUUGUACUAAUUUCAAGCAAUCACUGAUCAUUCUUGUUUGCAAAUUACUCUCAACAUUCAACAGGUAAAGUAAGUUCUAUCUUAGUAGUUGAAGAUAGAAAAAUUUAUCUUCUCAUCAAAAUCAUUUUGUGUUUCCUUGUUUUGAUUUGCAGAUUUCAGAAAUGGAGGUUGGCUUAGCAGUUGGUGGUGCAUUUCUUCUCUUCAGCUUUGAAUGUUCUCUUUGAUAGGCUUGCUCCUCAGGGUGAUCUUCUCAACAUGUUUCACAAGCAUAAGCAUCAUGUUCGGCUCUUCAAGAAGCUGAAAAUGACUUUACUUGGUCUUCAAGCUGUUCUAAGUGAUGCAGAGAAUAAGCAGGCAUCAAAUCAAUUUGUGAGCCAGUGGCUUGAUGAGCUUCGAGAUGCUGUGGACAUUGCUGAAAACUUAAUUGAACAAGUCAAUUAUGAAGUUUUGAGGCUUAAGGUUGAAGGUCAGCAUCAGAAUCUUGCAGAAGCAAGCAAUCAGCAAGUAAGUGACCUUGACCUGUGCUUAAGUGAUGAUUUUUUUCUUAACAUAAAGGAGAAGUUGGAAGACACCAUGGAAACAUUGGAGGAUUUGGAAAAGCAAAUUGGCCGCCUUGGCUUAAACGAGCAUUUUGGUUCGACUAAACAAGAAACUAGAACACCUUCAACUUCUUUGGUUAAUGAAUCUGAUAUCUUUGGUAGGCAGAGCGAAACAGAGGAUUUGAUUGACCGUUUAUUGUCUGAAGAUGCAAGUGGAAAAAAUCUGACUGUAGUUUCUAUUGUUGGAAUGGGUGGCGUGGGUAAGACAACACUUGCUAAAGCGGUUUACAAUGAUGAGAGGGUGAAGAACCAUUUUUGUUUGAAAGCUUGGUAUUGUGUUUCUGAGGCAUAUGAUGCUUUCAGAAUAACAAAAGGGUUACUUCAAGAAAUUGGCUCAUUUGACUUAAAGGAUGACAACAAUCUUAAUCAGCUACAAGUCAAAUUGAAGGAAAGCUUAAAGGGAAAGAAGUUUCUUAUUGUAUUGGAUGAUGUGUGGAAUGAAAACUACAAUGAGUGGGAUGACUUGAGAAAUAUUUUUGUACACGGAGAUAUAGGAAGUAUGAUAAUUGUAACGACACGUAAAGAGCGUGUUGCCUUGAUGAUGGGUAGUGGGGCAAUCAACGUGGGGACUCUGUCUGAUGAAGUCUCUUGGGAACUAUUCAAACGACAUUCACUAGAAAACAGGGAUCCUGAGGAACAUCCAGAACUUGUAGAGGUUGGAAAACAAAUUGCACACAAGUGCAAAGGAUUGCCUUUAGCUCUAAAGGUACUUGCUGGUAUUUUACGCUGCAAAUCAGAGGUGGAUGAGUGGAGAGACAUUUUUGAGAAGUGAAAUAUGGGAGCUUCCAAGUUGUUCGAAUGGUAUAUUACCAGCGCUAAUGUUGAGCUACAAUGAUCUUCCUGCACAUUUGAAGCAAUGUUUUGCUUAUUGUGCAAUAUAUCCUAAAGAUUAUGAAUUUUGCAAAGACCAAGUUAUUCACUUGUGGAUUGCUAAUGGUCUUGUACAUCAGUUGCAUUAUGGUAACCAAUACUUUCUCGAGUUGAGAUCAAGAUCACUGUUCGAAAGGGUCCCAAAGUCUGCAUGGAAACUGGAAGUAUUCUUAAUGCAUGACCUUGUCAAUGAUUUGGCCCAAAUUGCAUCUUCAAAUCUUUGUAUAAGGUUGGAAGAGAACAAAGGAUCGCAUAUGUUGGAACAAUGUCGGCACAUGUCCUAUUCAAUAGGAGAAGGUGGUGAGUUUGAGAAAUUGAAAUCACUCUUUAAAUCAGAGCAGCUGAGGACAUUACUUCCAAUCAAUAUGCCUUUCUAUUGCCAAAAUAAGCUAAGCAAGAGGGUGCUGCAUAACAUUUUGCCAAGACUAACAUCCUUAAGGGCAUUAUCGUUGUUACGCUAUGAAAUUGUUGAGUUGCCAAAUGACUUAUUUAUCGAAUUAAAGCUCCUGAGAUUUUUGGAUAUUUCUCGGACAAAGAUUAAAAGGUUGCCAGAUUCCAUUUGUGUGUUGUAUAACUUAGAGACACUUCUCCUUUCAUCUUGUGAUUAUCUUGAGGAGCUACCGCUGCAGAUGGAGAAGUUGAUCACCUUGCGUCAUCUUGACAUAAGCAACACUCGUGCCUUGAAGAUGCCACUAUAUCUGAGCAAGUUGAAAAGCCUCCAAGUGUUAGUGGGAGCCAAGUUUCUCUAGGUGGUUCGAGAAUGGAAGAUUUGGGUGAAGUACAUAACUUGUACGGAUCUCUAUCAGUUGUAGAGUUGCAAAAUGUGGUUGAUAGUAGGGAAGCUGUGAAGGCAAAAAUGAGAGAGAAGAAUCAUGUUGAGCAGUUAUCUUUGGAGUGGAGUGGAAGUAGUAGUGCCGACAAUUCACAAACAGAAAGAGACAUACUUGAUGAGCUACGCCCACAUAAAAACAUAAAAGAAGUCGAGAUCACCGGAUAUAGAGGGACAACAUUUCCAAAUUGGCUAGCUGAUCCUUUGUUUCUUAAUCUAGUAGAGUUGUCUAUUGAUAACUGCAAGAACUGUUAUUCCUUGCCAGCACUAGGACAACUCCCUUGUUUGAAAUUCCUUUGGAUUAGAGGGAUGCAUGGAAUAACAGAGGUGACGGAAGAAUUCUAUGGCAAUUUGUCCUCCAAAAAGCCUUUUAGCUCUCUUCAGGAGCUUGGAUUUGUUGAUAUGCCGGAGUGGAAGCAAUGGAACAUACUAGGAAUUGGAGAGUUCCCUAUACUUGAGAACCUUUCAAUUAUAAAUUGCCCUGAAGUCUGUUUGGAGAGACCCAUCCAACUUUCAUGUUUAAAAAGGUUUGCAGUUUGUGGUUGUCCUAAGGUUGGAGAAGCUCAAAUGUUUAGAUCCCAACUUGAGGGAAUGAAGGAGAUUGAGAAUUUAGAAAUUAGUGAUUGUAACUCUGUUACCUCCUUUCCUUUUAGCAUACUGCCCACUACCUUGAAGAGAAUAACCAUAUAUCGUUGCGAGAAAUUGAAAUUGGAGGUGCCAGUUGAUGAGAUGAGUAUGUUUCUGGAGGAAUUGACACUGUAUAAAUGUGAUUGUAUAGAUGAUAUAUCACCUGAGUUUUUCCCAACAGCACGCCAUUUGAAUGUAGAGGAUUGCCACAACCUUACUAGGGUUUUGAUUCCUACUGCCACUGAAAGACUCACUAUUUUGAAUUGUGAGAAUCUUAAAAUACUUUCGGUUGCAUGUGGGGGAACCCAGAUGACAAUUUUGUAUAUUGAGGGCUGUUGGAAGCUGAAGUGGCUGCCAGAACGUAUGCAGCAACUCCUUCCAUCUCUUAAGGAACUGUAUCUCUAUAAUUGUCCAGAAAUAGAGUCCUUUCCUGAAGGAGGAUUGCCCUUCAAUUUACAAGCCCUUUGGAUCAGAAAUUGCAAGAAACUGGUGAAUGGCCGAAAGGAGUGGAGUUUACAGAGACUCUCCUGUCUCAGAGAGUUAUCCAUCGUACAUGAUGGCAAUGACGAAGAGAUUGUUGGUGGUGAGAAUUGGGAGUUACCUUCCUCUAUUCAAAGACUUACCAUAGAGAAUCUGAAAACAUUAAGCAGCCAACAUCUCAAAAGCCUCACCUCUCUUCAAUAUCUAUGUAUUCGUAAUUUACCUCAAAUUCAGUCACUGCUGGAACAAGGGUGGCUUCCCUCGCCUCUUUCUGAGCUACGUUUAUAUCACCAUCAUGAGCUCCAUUCACUAGGUCUUUGGCACCUCACUUCGCUUCAAAUUCUACACAUCAUUAAUUGCCCUAAUCUCCAAUCACUUUCCGAAUCAGCACUGCCCUCUUCCCUCUCUAAACUACAUAUUCGCGACUGCGCAUUGCUCACACCACUACUAGAAUUUGACAAGGGGGAAUACUGGCCAGAAAUUUCUCAUAUCUCCACCAUACAGAUCAAUGAGGAAUACCUUUAAUGAUUAAAACAACUGUAAGUUUUUCUUUUUCCUCAUAAGCCUUUUAUUAUUUUUUCAACUUCUCUUUGCUUUUAUGUUAAUGCUUUUUCUUUAUUACAUUCUUGUUUCGCAGUAUGGAGUGUCUAUUGCCACUAUGAAGCUGAUGAUUUUAAUUUUAGAACUCAAUAGCAAUUAAUGUUACAUAUCUUACUCGAAGAUUUUUAUCGCUUGAACUUUCAUCUCAAUAGCAAGUCAUGUAUACUUGUUCUUUCCCUUUUCAGUGAGUUUAGAGUGAUGCACAUGUCCACUAUCAAAUUCAAAACUCUUAAUAGAAUUCAAAGGUGUACCAUACACAAGAUGUGUUUCAGUGAGUUUAGAGUGAUGCACAUGUCCACUAUUCAGGUUUUUAUUAAUGAUUCAGCCCCAUCGUAGAGAUCGAUUGGGAAUACCUGUGAUGAUUAAAACAAAUGGCUCUCCAACUGAUGUAAGUUAUUCUUUUCCAUCAGAAGCUUUUUAUUUUUGUUUUCAUUUUGCUUUUUUGUUGAUUCUUUUCCUUUAUAAAACCUUGUUGAGCAGUGUAGAAUGCCUAUUGCUCAAAUCAUAAAUCUUGAUUAGGAGAACCCUGUAAUGAUUAAAACGAGUUCUGCUCCGAUAGAUGUAAGUUAUUCUAUUUCCUUAAAUGUAACUAAUAUUCACUGGAUAUUCUAUUUCCUUAGUAUAUUUUGAUUGAGAUAAUUUGCUCAAGAAAGUUGAUUGCUUAAUAUAUGUUAUCACCUUUGGAGAUAUAGGGUCCAAGAAAUGCAACCUCACUUUCUCAAUCAGGUAGCCAACACAUUGAUAAAAGUUAUAUCAAGCUUCAAAUUUAAAGAAAUUGAAAACGACUUUGAAUAUCUGCUUCCAUUAUUUUACGCCAUGUUGUACCACAUUGAUUUCAAGUUUGAUUCCACUGCAUAAUUACAUCAGUUUUUUUUUUGUUUUGAUAUUCAAUUAUCUAGAAUAUUACAUCACUUUUUGGUUUUGAUAGUCAGAGAACUUUGAAGAUUAUGAAGUUUCCUUCAAAUUAAGCCCAUUACUCAACCUCGAGUGACACCUCAGAGCUAGCGGAAAGUCAAGAAAGUUUAUCCUGCUCGGGAUGAAGUUAAUGUUAGAUAACAAAAUAAUGAUUUACUCGUGUUUCAGUUACUAAGAUUCUUAUUUUGUAGUAAUAUUUUGGACUCUCAUAACUCAGUGACAUGGAUUUCCUUCAUUGGCACCCUCAUCAGUCAUCAAUCAGUGAAACAGAGAAAUCGACUGUUUCAAAACUCUCUGAAACCCAUUUUGAGCUUCAUGCCUUCAAUUCCGAUGAAACCCAAAAGGCAUCAACAGAGUAGAAGAAUUCAACCCAAAACCCAUUUCAACCCAAGUUUUCUAUUCCUGCUUCACCUGAUAGGAAGAAGUUUACGUAUGAGAAAGGUCUAAAGGUACAAAUAUUUUUUCUUCUCCUUUUCUUACUGUGGUGCUUAAAUUGGUUUUGUCCCACUUUGCAUCACAAUGAUGUUGGAGUAUAUCGGUUUUCUACUGGUAUUCAGAUACUUAAAAUGGAAAAUUGCUUUGGAAAAUAUCGUUUCAUUGUUCGAAAGUUGUUUAACAUACAAUUGGCAUCUGUUGAUCCAAUUUUUUCAUUUUUCUGUUAAUCUUCUUCUAUCCUUAGUUUACAUGUCUUCUGAUUGAGUUAUAAUACAUGCCUUGAUUCUAUUGAAGAUGAGAAAUCGUCAAAUGCCUUUAUGAAGUGUUUGCUAAGUUGAUGUCGCCUAAUUCACAUUUCACUGAAUUAAUUUCUGACCCAAGUUUAUGCAUAUGUUUGGUCUAACAUUGAAAAGGAAAAAUGUCGAAUGAUAUGGAUAUUUUUGUUUUUAAGAAUACAAAGUCACUAUAAAGGUAGAAAAUUUCGAUGGUAUUAAUUUUGAUAUGCAUCACCAUUGAGAACUUUGCCUGAGGUAUUAAUUUCUAUUUUCGCUGUUUAGAAAUGUUUAAUGUAACUCCUAAUUGUGAUGCUUCAUUCACACAUUUUUGAAAUAUAUUACAUAGAAAAUAUGCUUCUAUCCAAGGAAAAUUAUAUCUGCCUAGCUCUAACCUCCAGUACGUGUAUUCAUGAAUAAAAUGAUAGAAAAUGGAAACAAGGAAGGAAAACAUGUGCUGUUUGUUCUCGAUUUUUAAAUAUUGUAUCCUCUUUCGCUUCUGUUUUUCAUUUGCUCUCCUAGCUAAUAGUCUUUUAUUUACUGAAUAAUCAUAUGUUAUAUGUCUCCUUAAGUUCCUGUAUUUUUUAUUUCACAAACUUCACAUAAGCAUACAAGUAAUUGCAAUAGUUUAUUUGUGCUUCCAGAUUCGUUUAGUGUGAGGUCUGAUUUUUCUUUUUCCUUUUACAGCUAUUAGGAAAAGCUUGCCUAUGUGGCUCUUGACUAUGAGCAGGAGAUUGAAACUGCCAGGAGCAGCUCCUCCACUGAAAAGAACUAUGAAUUGCCUGAUGGACAAGUUAUUGCCUUUGGUGCUGAGAGGUUCCAUUGCCCAGAGGUCCUCUUCCAGCCAACGAUCCUUCCCGUGCGUUGAUCGUGGAUAAGACACUCAGAAGAAGAAAAGAUGACACGAAGAUGGUUAGCUGCAACAUGACUGACAGAAAUUUCUUUAUAGGAGGAAAAUGGAAUCUAUCAUGAAGAAUCCGGGAUGAAGACAUAGACCCACAGUGUGAAAGAGGUAAGAGAGUUUCAUCUACAAUGUUAACAGAAACUUUAAUAGGUAAAGGAGGCAGACAAUAGCAAUUGAUUAUCGUUUAGUGAUUAUCUUGCUUGUUAUAAACAUCAGGAGCAUUUGAUGGUAAGAUGUCAUAUAUCUUGGUAUCUAACAGGUACCCUGGGGUAUUAAUGAGUGAGGUUGAGGAUGGAAAGCCAUUCAGCCAAGUUGUUAAUGCUGCUAAAAGCCUUGGCUACACUAUUAAUGUUUGUAAAAUCACCAUAUAUAUGAGAAUUGAAGAUAUGACUUACAAAAACAGAAAGUUGUCGAUUGAAUAUAUGAUAUUGUCUAUUCAUAAUUAUGUGUAGUCUUACAUUUUUGUUUAUAUGUUGCUCUUUCUAUGAGUAAUUUCCACUCGUUUUCCUGUCAGGCAAGUGUUCCUCUGGUACAAUAAUAUUUUCUGGCCUUCUGCUUAGGAAGUUUGUCUAGGACUAAUUUGAAUGUGAGAGAAGUCAGAGAAACACGAGAAGCGAUUAAGAGAAUGUGUAAUACAAAUGUCUUACACAUGAAUUCUUCUUUUAUAUGCUCACUUUACGGUGCAUCUUCAUACAUUUGUCCAAUGUGGUGAACAUGCACAUACAACUCUAUAUUACAAUUAUCUCUUGUUAUUUACAUUUAGCUAUCUGAUUCUCCCCUCUAGCUGGUGCGUACAUGUAACCUGUAUAGGAUUUGAUGAAUAUGUCUAUAAGUUGAUCGGUCGACUUUCCAAACUUUAUAAGAGUGUCGUGAAAGCAUUUUUUGGGGAAGGGACAGUCGGUUUCUAUAUGCUUGGUCCUCUUGUCAGAUUCUGCAUACAAUGGAUACAAGUACAACUUGAUUAAUUAUCACACUCAAGUUUUGUUAUGAUCAAAUUUCAAUUGUUAGAGAAAAAUGUAUCUCAGGUUUAACUCUGCCCAAAAGUUACCUCAUGACAUGCGGAUUGCCAAAGAUCACAUAAAGAGAUUACAACAAAACAUCCUCAACUGAAGUGAGACUAACAUCUUAAUUCUUAUCGCUUGCACAGGGCGGAACAUAUGAAGUAUGUAUAACAUAACACAGGGGGGCUUAACAUUGGGUAAUAACUAAACACUAGGGAUGAGCUUGAGUGAGAUAUCAUUAAGAAAAUGGACUUUGUGCCUAACCCAGUCCAGAAAGCUAGUCCAAGAUCAUAUAAGGGUACCUUUAACCAAUGUGGUAAACUAACAGCAACCAUUUUCGAUCCUUUUGGUGGUUGUUAAUCUAUGUGCUCAUCGUUACCAUAGUCAUGACCCAAUAUUCUCUUUCUUCUAUAUUGCCCAAUUGCCUGAAAGUAUUAUAGUAUUUAGAAGUAAAACGUAUAUAAAGAAGGUAUCACUGUCCAUUUUGCAUCGUAAUUGUCUUUGAUUUUUGUUGAUAAUCCUUUCCAAGAGCAGGCUUCCUACCCCAAAAUUCUGUUUCCAGCUGGAUUAUAUAAGAAAUUUGGAGCCAUUCAAAACUUCUAAGGAGAUUCUAGUUCCUGUUCUAAUAAAGAAAUAAUGUCUUCAAUGCAUUGUCAAGAUGCAGUCAAUUUUCUAGCAGCAGUUAGCAGGAACCGUACAUCCAUCCCAAAAUAUCAUUAUGGAAGAAAUCGCUGACACUACACUUCAUCUCAAUUCUCAUUAGGAUAGUUGAAGUAUGAAGUUAUUCUUAUGUAUUUAUACUUAUCUGCAGAUCCUCGGGAUGAUCUAGGUGGUAUGGAUGCAGCAAGAAAGGUUAGGAAACGUCUUUCUUCUGAUUAAACUUACAGUGUCCAAGAUUUCAAUCCAUUUAUAUUGCCAAAUUAUUAUGCUGAUUAAGCAUUAUCUUUCUUUUUUCUUUAUCUGAACUUACCUGCAGUCUUACAGUAUGCAUAAUUGAUACAAUUAUUCUAUUUUGCAAAGGCUGGCUAUGAUAUUAUGUAAAAAGGCUGGCUAUGAUAUUAUGUGAAAAGAUCUGAGCUUCCAAUAUUGGAGACCCUAUAACCUUUAAAAUCCUCUGUUCAACCCAUAUGCAACAACUAUAUAACUCAACUGGAAAUGGCUAAGAAUCAAAUAUACGAUACUCCAAGACCACUCAAUUCUUUGUUUAUAAGCCAACAUAAACAAUAUGAUACAAUUAUUCUGUUUUGCAAUGUCAACUGCAACGAGUCUGAACCAUUGAAUUAACCAUCUAAAAGAACGUAAUUAAAAGUAAAUUUUGAAAAAAGAACGAAAAACUAGUUGAGUGAUUGGUGAUUAUCAUUUGCUUAUUCUGUUUUUUCCCCUUAUCAUGGUUACUUGUAAGUAUAAUCUCGUAAGGAAAAAAAACAUUCAAGCCAGUCCCAUCUGGAUAUAAAAUUCAAGGUUUCUUCUAGUCUGUGAUUCUGCUAUUCUCUUUUGUAUCAUGAAAAGUGUCUCGUUAGCUAUAGUCAUAUGUGCAUGAGAGUGUAGAGGGAGCAUCUCUGCUUCAUAUUUCAAGUACUUUGUUAUAAUCUUUCCUUAAUUUGUAUUUGGGAUGAUGAUGUCUUUGGGGGGUAGAAAAGCUGUGAUUAAGCCAGAAUCAUUUUCGCAGAUUGCGAUGGGAAGCAUAUCUUAUCCAACUUAAUAUAGUUAAUACUUGGUUUCUCGGUACCUUUCAUGAAACGUUCAUAGUUCUAAUUGGUUCUGUAAAUUUUGAGAAGUUGAACAUCCCUCAUAACAAUAUUUUGUUUUGAUGUCUUCAUAACAGGCUCUAAUUCUUGCUCGGCUCCUUGGACGACGUUUAAACCUAGAUAAUAUGAAGGUUAGGAUACAUGUCACCAUGUCUCUUUGUUUUGUUACUAGCUCAAUUAGCUUCAGAAACCUUGAUGCAUAUGCAAAUCCCUUUUCAGAUUGAAAGCUUGUAUCCUGAAGAAAUGGGACCAGAUGUGAUGCCUCUGGAAGACUUUCUAGUGAAUGGCCUUCCCUUACUUGAUAAGAAAAUUGAAGAUAGGACUAAACAAGCUUGAAUUUUCUGCGUUAGUUUGCUUGAUGAUGAUGCGUGGUAAUUCUUUCACUUCAUUUUUAGUUUGCUCAAUGGAUAAUGACAACUUGAUCUUUUAUUCUAAUCACAUUCUGCAAGUCACCAUACCUCUAGCAGCUUAAAGCAAAGCUUGCUCACUGACGGGAGUGUUAUGGUCAGUUGUUCACCUCUCGUAUCCACGACCAAUUAAAGAACGAGUUAGAAGUAUAAAUCUGUAAUGGCAUAGAUGAGGGAACAUUGAACUAUCUUUAAAUGAUAGUUCCAAAAUAUUUUCAUUAAUUAGUUCUUUUUUCAUGUAUUUAGGGUUGGGAAGGUGGCAGAUGGGUAUGCAGAAUUAUCAUAUUUUUUUCUUGAGACUUAUGUUGAGAAAAUUGUUAUAAGCUCUUGUAUUUAGUAUAACAUCAAUUGAAAAUUGGGAAGCAAAAACUUGUCGGCUCAUUCUACAUAAGACCUAUGUUUGGAUUUACAAAAACAACAUACCCAAUGUAACCCCACAAGUGGGGUUUGGGGAGGAUAGGAUGUAUGCAGACCUUGUCUGGAUUUGUUUGAAUAUAAUUCACUAACAUGUUCAUAUGGUAAUGAUGGGUUCGUUUGGAUGCAAAAUGGCAAUGUUAUCCAUACUAGUAGAAACUUAGAAUCUAUCUUUGGUUUCUUUAAGCGGUUUGGUCUCACCUUGUAAGGUUUGAAGUUUCAUUUCUUGUAUUGUCUUGAACAAGUGUAUAUCAAGGAGUAUUUAUUAACUUGUUGGUUGAAGAAAAAAAAUAGAUAUUUCUGUUUAUUGGUUUUUGUCUUCUUGAUAAGUGUCUACUUUAGAACUAUUAUGAAUUGUUCUAGCAAAAUCAACUGCUACAAACAGCUUCACUGAAAACAAAUAGCACAGAAGAAAGUGUCUGGCGGUCUGCUGCUUGGGGAAAAAUUGAUUAUUGAAAACACUUUUGUGUACAUGACAUUAACAUCACUCAUUUUCAGAUAUGAAGUUGGCAUCCAAGAAGUUCCAAAAGAUUUUGCAUUGGGAAGAUUAAGAGGAAGUGAUAAUGUGGUGCGCAUUGUGCACUUUCACCUCCCAUUUUGCUGUUUCUUUGGUCCCUCUUCUUUUUGUUCCAUUACUUUGUUUUCCGUUGGGAAUUUUCUUUUAACUGCUAUGGAGGUUCAACCAUAUCAUACUCGUCGUUAUUAGAUUAUCAAGGUAAAACAUUUUUAAUUGUUUAAAGCCCUUUUGUGAUGUCAUUUUUGUAGUGAUGUAUUACAUCAUGCUGUGAUUUUAAAGAAUUGCUCAUCUUUUACCCAUGCCUAAGGCGAACGCUUUACUUUGUCUUUACUCUUUACACAUCAUCUGGUGUCGCCCUGCAAAACUUUGUGCAGUUAAGGUCUUUGAUUCUAUUCUACCUUAAUCGUAGAAUGUAUCCCUUGUACUAAUUAGGAGGUAAUACAAACAGUAAGAUUAAUGACUUGGUUUUGUCGAAGAAUGACUAUGAUGAUUGAACGUCUGUAAUUUGGAUUGUUUGUCUACAGGUGGAGAUAUACAGCCGUUGUUACGAGAAACAACCUUUGGUUAUCCAAGGCGCUGGAGCAGGAAAUGAUACCACAGCAGCUGGUGUCCUAGCUGAUAUCCUUGACAUUCAAGAUUUAUUCCCUUGACCGAGUAUUAUACACUGAGAUACAAACAUUCGAUCCUCAAAGGAUGAAAAAUCGACUCUUCUUGUCCCUCUGCUUCAAUCAUUGAAGACUGAAAUCAGGCUCAUUUAGCACAUCCAUUUUUUGAAAAAAAAUUCGACACGUGAGAGUGCGUUGUCAGUUUAUGGAAAAUUAUUGCACGAUUUCUCGCGUCUAUCUUGUCACUAGUGAAAUUGAUCAUAUAUUUGCCUCAUUGCUUGACUAGUUUUUAAGAUUUCACUUCAGCUUAUAAUCAGUUUAUGUUGUAAUGACCAUUUUGGUACCUAAACUUUUUAUGUUACUACAAUUUUAGAGACUUAGUUAUUAUGCUUUCAGAAUAACAAAAGGGUUAAUACAACGUGUAGGAUGACUUGAGAAAUCUUUUUGUACAAGGAGAUAUAGGAAGUAAGAUCAUUGUAACAACACGCAAAGAGUGUGUUGCCUUGGUGAUGGGAAAUGAGCAAAUUAGCAUGGAGAAUCUAUAUAUGGACUACCUAUUUCAUUUUAUGAGAAGAGAAGAGAAUUUUAAAAAUGAUGUUGGCCUUUUCUUUUCUUCGACUGUCAGCUAUACAAAACCAAGACAAAUGUUGUAAUGGAGAACUUGUUCCCUCCAGCACUAUCUUCAUUUAUCUUUAUCCUGACAAAAUUUAGAAAGUAGAAAACGUAAAACAAAGAAAAUAAUAAGGAAGAAAGUGUGAAGAUUUACCAAAACUCUUGCUUCCAGUAAUGAAUAGUCAAGAAACCAGACUGGCAGACUCCAUAAUUAUUUUCUAUGGCUGUGAGCUGCAGACUGUAGAUAAAACAUAGUUGUACCAAUUACAAGCAAAAGAGAGGGGGAGAAAUCAUUCUUGAUUAUAUAUCACUCUUAGCUCUUAGCAUUCAACAGGUAAAAUAAAAUUGUUAGUAAUUGAAGUUUGAAACAUUUAUCUUCUUAAAAUCAUUUUAAGAAGAUAUCAUUUAAACCAUAUGGCAAUCUAGCUCGGCAAGAGAUACAUGCUAAAGUAUAUCCUGCUCGGGAUGAAUUCAAGGUUAGAUAAUAAAAUAAUGAUUUACUCGUGUUUCAGUUAUCAAGAUGCUUAUUUUGUAGUAAUAGUUUCCUCUCUCAUAAAUCAGCGAAAUAGAUUUCCUUCAUUGGCACCCUCAUCAGUCAUCAAUCAGCAAAACAGAGAAAUCAACGGUUUCAAAAUUCUCUGGAACCCAUUUCGAGCUUCACGCCUUCAAUUCUGAUGACACAAAAGACAUCAACAGAGUAGAAGAAUUCAACCCAAGUUUUCGACUCCUGCUUCACCUGAUGAGAAGAAGUUUACGGGAGAAAGUUUGCCUUAGGUAUUAAUUUCUAUUUUCGCUGUUUAGAUAUGUUUCCUGUAGCUCCUAAUUGUGAUGCUUCAUUUACACAUUUUUAAAAUUUUAUCUAAUAACAGGGAUACAGUAUGUCCGAGUCAACUUGAUGUUACAAACUUGCAGCUAAUUGUUGUGCGUUAUAUUUUUGCAUAUCAUGAAGAAUCCGGGAUGAAGACAUAGACCCGUAGUGUGAAAGGGGUAAGAGAGUUCCAUCUGCAAUGUUAACAAAAUCUUAUAUAAAAAUAAUAUAUACGAAAAUUAAUUUAUAAAAAUUAUAUACCAAAUUGAAAACUUAAAAUCAAUAUUAUAAAAAUAUUACAUCUUAUAUAUAUAAAAGAGAACCUUAUGCCCGCCUACGUGGCGCCACCACAAACCAGAAUUCUCUUUAAAUUUAUUUAUUUCCAAAACUAGCCUUCCUCUUUUAAUGAAAAGUUGUGACAUUUAUGAAAAAUUGUGAAUUUUAUGAAAAGUUUUGACUUUAACUAGCCUUCCCCUUUCAUGAAAAGUUGUGACUUUUAUGAAAAAUUGCGACUUUAAUGAAGAGUUGUGACUUUUAUGAAAAAUUCUGACUUUUAUGAAAGGUUGUGACCUUUCCGAAGGGUUGCAACCUUUCUAAUAAAUCACAAUAAACAUUUGUUCACAUUACCCUUUGUUGUCUAUAAAUAGAGGGAUUUCCUCUCAUUUUAAAACAACUGAAAUUCUGAAUCUCUUCUUCUUCUUCACAAUUAAAUAUUUGUUUGUUUUGCUCAUGUUGAGUGGCUCAGUGAUACCAUUGCUUAUGUUACAGAUCCUGGUAUGUAUUUUUACAGUCAUUAAUUUAUGCUUAUGUUAUUAAGAAUAAAUGAUAAAGAUGUAAUAAUUUUCAUUUUCCUUUACAUUAUUAAUUUUUGUUACUACGUAAUCUUAUAUGUAAGAUAAUAUAGUGUUUUUGUUUUAAUGACUGAUAGGUUUUUAAGUAUUAUUUUAUAAAUUCCAUGAUACUAUUAAAUUCCCGAGCGAAGCGCGGGUAAUUUUACCAGUAAAAGAUAAUUAAGUAUACUGCGAACUUAAUUAAAAUAUAAAAUUUAUAAUAUGUUAAAUUAAUUUUUUUUAAUAUUAUACAAAUUCAGAGUUGCACAUGUUCACCCUUGUGCUUUGAUAAAAUGCAGAAUCUUAUGUAUAAAAAAAUACAAGAGGUUGUGGUGAAAGUUUAUUUCCAAUAGAAAUACGUGAAUUUGGUGGUAUGCCGUCCCCACCAAAGACAUAACCUAUAUUUAUAAAGAUUAUGAAAACUUACUAGUUCAAGAAAAAAAGAAGUGAUGUAUGAUUGAGAAAAGAAAGGAAGAGAGUUUGUAGCGAGAGAGAGAUAUGGAAAGUUUCGCAAAGAGAGAGAGGCAUAUUUUGUUGUGUAUUAAAUAAGUCUGAAUAUUAUUAAACUUAUUAGCAAAUUUUAUUCGUUUUGAUUCUUUUUUCUUCUAUGGCUGUCCACCCACCAAAAUAAAUAAAAUAUCCUUCCUCUUUUGCCUCAAUUGUUGGCUAAAAGUCAACUCAUGGAAAAGAGACAAUUUAAAUUAUUAUUAUUAUUUUCCUAUAGCUGUCAGUUGUAGAUGGUAGAAAACUAUAGUUGUACCAAUUAUAGAUCACUGAUUAUUCUUGUUUGCAAAUUACUCUUAGUAAUUGAAGAUAGAAACAUUUAUCAUUUUGUGUUGCUUUGCAGAUUUCAGAAAUGGAAAUUGGGUUAGCAGUUGGUGGUGCAUUUCUCUCUUCAGCUUUGAAUGUUCUCUUUGAUAGGCUUGCUCCUCACGGUGAUCUUCUCAACAUGUUUCAGAAUCAUACGAAUGAUGUUCGGAUCUUUAAGAAGCUGAGAGCGACUUCGGAUGGUCUUAAGAUUGUGCUAAGUGAUGCAGAGAAUAAGCAAGCAUCAAAUCCAUCGGUGAGCGAGUGGCUUGAUGAGCUUCGAGAUGGUGUGCACUCUGCUGAAAACUUAAUGAGAAGUUAAUUAUGAAGCUUUGAGGCUUAAGGUGGAAGGCCAGCAUCAAAAUCUUGCAGAAACAAGCGACCAGCAAGUAAUUUGAUAUUUUGAUAAUUUGAUUGAUUCAGGAUGAACGUCGAUCGUAUGAUUACAUGGAUUCACAACCAGAUAUCAACGUCAGGGUCAGAGCUAGAAAAUUUUCUGGAAGGCUGAACUACUUGAAAAAAAUGAAAGUUACAUUACUGCACACAGAUGCGAGAUCAAGAGAAACUUUUUAGAUCUGUUGUCGAUAUUCUUAGCAGUGUAACUCAUGUGCACAUUCUACAGCAAAAAGUACAGUAAGUAGAAGAACUCAAUUUUUAGCAAUGAAAUGGCACCAUUUUCUCACACUCAAAAUGAUCUUAAAUUUCAUGAAUGAAACAAUCAUAUAUUACUUAGCUUGAAGCCCCAUUUUCUUCCUCGUUUUCCCAACGUAUAAAUCCUUAGACUUGCUCAUCUCGGGGACUAAUCCAAUGAUCGUCGUGAAUGAAAAUUGAGCCACUACUUCGAGGCUCGUAUAUUGCAAGUUUGCUUUCUUUUCCUCCGCUCAUCAAAAGUUUCAAGUUCUUCGCGGUCAUUAGAGCAUGUUUUUGAGCCGAAUAUCCUUGUUUAAGUUCCUGAUAGCAAAGAAGCAUUAGAGUUCAAUUGAACAAUAAUAACAUACACAGUAUAGUCUCACAAGUAGAGACUGUGGAGUGUUUACGCAGACUUUAUCCCUACCUUGUCAAGUAAGAACUCAAUUGAAUAAUAGAAUCAAAACUCAAGUAAUAGAUAGCUGCUUCAGGUCCUCUGCCUACUGCUAUAUUAUCAAAAUGCCUUCUAAAUUCGACAUAUAUAUUCUUCAACUGUAGUUUCUCUUGUAACAACAACAACAAAUCCUUAUGUUUCUAUGACCCUUGAUUCUAAGAUUCUCAUCAACCUUCAAUCUUCCAAAAUUAUCGAUUCGAUCCUUCAAAUACGUCUCCCUUAACCACUCUGAACUCGGUGGCUUUCCCGUGCAAAGAAAAUUGGCUGAAUCCCAUGAAAUUACUAGUACAUCUUGACAUCUUUGUAAAAGAGUAGAUCGCAGUCAUGAUCAAGACAAUUGGUUGAAUCCCGUGAAAUUAACUUAAAUCUAAUAUAAAAAUAUUAUACCCUUUAACUUGGCCUCAACUCCUAAAUAUGCCCUCCAACUUUGGAUGUACUCGAGUAGUCAGUUAAAUUUGUAUAAAGUUGAAUAAAUAGAUACAAGCGUCCUAAGUGACAUCUUACAUGACAAUUUUUCAUCUGACGUGUCUUGUAUGUAUUAUGUCACGUAAGACUUGUGUGUCUAUUUGUUCAACUUUAUACAAGUUAAAGUGUUUACUUGUGCAUACCCAAAGUUGGAAGACAUAAAUGUGAAAUGAUGCCAAGUUAAAGAGCAUAUUAUUCAAAAUUCAAAAAUAGGGUUUGAAGUUUCAAUUCCAUUGAUGGAUAACGUUACAAUUUUAGUGUAGCACAAUGGAACUUGGAAUUCAAACAACCACUACAAUAAUUAUCACAUUGAUGCAAUUUUAGUCAAUUCUACUUCCAAUUUGACAAAUUUGGUCAUAAAUUUAUCUUAUUAUCCUUGACAGAAUGUUAUGGAUGGUUCUAAAAUUAUGAAAUAAAAUGUAUUUAUUAGGAUAAAUUUACUUUUUUACCCUUGGUCGUUCUUGGUCUCCACAUUUCUAUAUAGUAGAAAAAUUCAAGAGGUCAUUUUCAGAUAAUUUAACAUCUAAAAGCAUCCAAACAAUGAUCUACCUGGCCUCAACUAUUAGUAACUUUUAAUUAUUAUUUUUUCUUGAUCGGAUUUUGGUAAUGAUUAUGUUCUUUGCUUAGCUAGUGAAAGUUUUAUUUCCAAUAUAAAUAUGUGAAUUUUGGUGGUAUGUGAUCCCCACUAAAUUAUAUGUCAACUCUUUUUUCCCUUUUUAAAAUAGGAAUAAUACAUAAACAAUUUCUUAGUACACGUUAGAACUUACUAUAUAUGCUUAGAGUAAUUGUUUAAUUGUUUAAUUCUACACCAUAACUCCACGUUAUUGCCACUAUACCAAAAAGUCAAUCCUCCCAAUUUGAACCAUCCAUUUAUUCCAACCUACCCAAUAACUUAAAGCUUGAGGCAAUCCUCCCAAUUCGAAAAGUCUUUUUCUCUGAACAUAUGACAUGUAUUUAUUGGUUUAUUGUAAAUAACAAAUACAAAUACGUUUUCACCUAAUCUGAGUUUGUUUGGGGUGUUUUAUCUCUCACUAUCAAGAGGAACUUUAUCACAACGAUUCAAGCUCGAAAUCUCUAAUUAAAUACGAAAAAUUAUAUAUCUUUUUUUUUUUAUAAGGGAAAGAUCCUCUUGAUGUUAUCAAAUUCCCAACUUGGCAUGCUUUAAAGUAUAAAAAAAAUAUUAUGAAGACAGAGUCUUGUUGUUGGGUGAAAAGUCAUCCUCAUGGAAAAGACAGCUUAAAUUCUUUUUUUCCCUAUAGUUGUCACUGUAGAAAACUAUUGUUGUACCAAUAUUCUUGUUUGCAAAUUACUCUUAGCAUUCAACAGGUAAAGUAAAGUUCCUUUAGUAAUUGAAACAUUUAUCUUCUCAAAAUCAUUUUGUGUUUCCUUGUUUUGCUUGCAGAUUUCAGAAAUGGAGGUCGGCUUAGCAGUUGGUGGUGCAUUUCUCUCUUCAGCUUUGAAUGCUCUCUUUGACAGGCUUGCUCCUCAUGGUGAUCUGAUGAAGAUGUUUCAGAAGCAUAAGGAUCAUGUUCAGCUCUUACAGAAGCUGCAGGACAUUUUUCUUGGUCUUCAGAUUGUGCUAAGUGAUGCAGAGAAUAAGCAAGCAUCAAAUCGACACGUGAGCCAGUGGUUUAAUAAGCUUCAGAGUGCUGUGAACGGCGCUGAAAACUUGAUAGAAGAAGUCAAUUAUGAAGCUUUGAGGCUUAAGGUGGAAGGCCAGCAUCAAAAUCUUGCAGAAACAAGCAACAAACAAGUAAGUGACCUCAACCUGUGCUUGAGUGAUGAUUUAUUUCGUAACAUAAAGGAUAAGUUGGAAGAAACCAUUGAAACAUUGGAGGUGUUGGAAAAGCAAAUUGGUCGCCUUGGCUUAAAGGAGAAUUUUGUUUCGACUAAACAAGAAACUAGAACACCUUCAACUUCUUUGGUUGAUGAUUCUGAUAUCUUUGGAAGGCAGAGUGAAAUAGAGGAUUUGAUUGACCGUUUAUUGUCUGAAGAUGCAAGUGGAAAAAAGCUCACUGUAGUUCCUAUAGUUGGAAUGGGCGGCGUGGGUAAGACAACACUUGCUAAAGCCGUUUACAAUGAUGAGAAGGUGAAGGACCAUUUUGGUUUGAAAGCUUGGUUUUGUGUUUCUGAGGCAUAUGACGCUUUCAGAAUAACAAAAGGUUUACUUCAAGAAAUUGGCUCAUUUGACUUAAAGGAUGACAACAAUCUUAAUCAGCUACAAGUCAAAUUGAAGGAAAGAUUAAAGGGAAAAAAGUUUCUUAUUGUUCUGGAUGAUGUCUGGAAUGACAACUACAACGAGUGGGAUGACUUGAGAAAUGUUUUUGUACAAGGAGAUAUAGGAAGUAAGAUCAUUGUGACGACACGUAAAGAGAGUGUUGCCUUGAUGAUGGGUAGUGGGGCAAUCAACGUGGGGACUCUGUCUGAUGAAGUCUCUUGGGAACUAUUCAAACGACAUUCACUAGAAAACAGGGAUCCUGAGGAAUAUCCAGAACUUAAAGAGAUUGGAAAACAAUUUGCAGACAAGUGCAAAGGUUUGCCUUUAGCUCUAAAGGCACUUGCUGGUGUUUUACGCGGUAAAUCAGAGGUGGAUGAGUGGAGAGACAUUUUGAGAAGUGAAAUAUGGGAGCUUCCAAGUUGUUCGAAUGGUAUAUUACCAGCGCUGAUGUUGAGCUACAAUGAUCUUCCUGCACAUUUGAAGCAAUGUUUUGCUUAUUGUGCAAUAUAUCCCAAAGAUUAUCAAUUUCGCAAGGACCAAGUUAUUCACUUGUGGAUUGCUAAUGGUCUUGUACAGCAGUUGCAUUCAGGUAACCAAUACUUUCUUGAGUUGAGAUCAAGAUCAUUGUUCGAAAGGGUCCCAGAGUCUGAAUGGAAACCGGAGGGAUUCUUAAUGCAUGACCUUGUCAAUGAUUUGGCCCAAAUUGCAUCUUCAAAUCUUUGUAUAAGGUUGGAAGAGAACAAAGGAUCGCACAUGUUGGAACAAUGUCGGCACAUGUCCUAUUCAAUAGGAGAAGGUGGUGAGUUUGAGAAAUUGAAAUCACUCUUUAAAUCAGAGCAGCUGAGGACAUUACUUGCAAUCAAUAUCCAGCUCUAUGAUUACAAAAUUAAGCUAAGCAAGAGGGUGUUGCAUAACAUAUUGCCAAGACUAACAUCCUUAAGGGCAUUAUCGUUGUCACGCUAUGAGAUUGUUGAGUUGCCAAAUCACUUGUUUAUUGAAUUAAAGCUCCUGAGAUUUUUGGAUAUUUCUCGGACAAAGAUUAAAAGGUUGCCAGAUUCCAUUUGUGGAUUGUAUAACUUAGUGACACUUCUCCUGUCAUCUUGUGCUGAUCUUGAGGAGCUACCGCUGCAGAUGGAGAUGUUGAUCAACUUGCGUCAUCUUGACAUAAGCAACAUUUCUCUCUUGAAGAUGCCACUAUAUCUGAGCAAGUUGAAAAGCCUCCAAGUGUUAGUGGGAGCCAAGUUUCUUUAGGUGGUUCGAGAAUGGAAGAUUUGGGUGAAGUACAUAACUUGUACGGAUCUCUAUCGGUUGUAGAGUUGCAAAAUGUGGUUGAUAGUAGGGAAGCUGUGAAGGCAAAGAUGAGAGAGAAGAUUCAUGUUGGCAAGUUAUCAUUGGAGUGGAGUGAAAGUAGUAGUGUCGACAAUUCACAAACUGAAAGAGACAUUCUUGAUGAGCUACGCCCACAUAAAAACAUACAAGAAGUCCGAAUCACCGGAUAUAGAGGGGACAAAAAUUUCCAAAUUGGCUAGCUGAUGUUUCGUUUCUUAAGCUAGUAGAAUUGUCUCUUAUAAACUGCAAGAACUGUUAUUCCUUGCCAGCACUAGGACAGCUUCCUUGUUUGAAAUUCCUUUCCAUUAGAGGGAUGUAUGGAAUAACAGAGGUGACGGAAGAAUUCUAUGGCAGUUUGUCCUCCAAAAAGCCUUUUAACGCUCUUGAGAAGCUUGUAUUUGAAGAUAUGCCGGAGUGGAAGCAAUGGCAUGUACUAGGAAAUGGAGAGUUCCCUACACUUGAGAAGCUUUUAAUUAUAAAUUGCCAUGAACUCAGUUUGGAAACACCCAUCCAACUUUCAUGUUUAAAAAGGUUUGAAGUUGAUGGUUGUCAUAAGGUUGGAGAUGCUCAAAUGUUUAGAUCCCAACUUGAGGGAAUGAAGCAGAUUGUUGAAUUAGAUAUUAGUGAUUGUAACUCUAUUACCUCCUUUCCUUUUAGCGUUCUUCCCACUACCUUGAAGAGAAUAGUUAUAUCUGGUUGCCAGAAAUUGAAAUUGGAGCAGCCAGUUGGUGAGAUGAGUAUGUUUCUCGAGGAAUUGAAACUGCAAGAAUGUGAUUGUAUAGAUGAUAUAUCACCUGAGAUGCUCCCAACAGCACGCAGAUUGUUUGUAUGUAAUUGCCAGAACCUUACUAGGCUUUUUAUUCCUACUGCCACUGAAAGUCUCUAUAUUGCUUAUUGUGUGAAUCUUGAAAUACUUUCGGUGGCAUGUGGGAAGACCCAGAUGAUGUAUUUUCCAGAACGUAUGCAGGAACUCCUCCCAUCUCUUAAGACACUGAUUCUAUCUAAUUGUCCAGAAAUAGAGUCCUUUCCUGAAGGAGGAUUGCCCUUCAAUUUACAACAACUUCAUAUCUACAAUUGCAAGAAACUGGUGAAUGGCCGAAAGGAAUGGCAUUUACACAGACUUCCCUGUCUCAGAGAGUUAAGCAUCUACCAUGAUGGCAGUGACGAAGAGAUUGUUGGUGGUGAGAAUUGGGAAUUGCCUUCCUUUAUUCAAAGACUUACCAUAUACAAUCUGAAAACAUUAAGGAGCCAAGAUAUCAGAAGCCUCACCUCUCUUCAAUAUCUAUGUAUUGGUAAUUUAUCUCAAUUUCAGUCAAUGCUAGAAGAAGGGCAGCUCACUUCACUUCAAAGUCUAGACAUCAAUAAUUUCCCUAAUCUCCAAUCACUUUCCGAAUCAGCACUGCCCUCCUCCCUCUCUGAGCUGACCAUCAAUAAUUGCCCUAAGCUCCAAUCCCUUCCAGUAAAAGGGAUGCCCUCUUCCCUCUCUAAACUAUCAAUUCGCGACUGUCCAUUGCUCACACCAUUACUAGAAUUUGACAAGGGGGAAUACUGGCCAAAUAUUGCUCAAAUUCCUACCAUAACGAUCGACGAGGAUUCCAUGUGAUGAUUAAAAAGAAUGACUCUCCAACUGAUGUAACUUAUUCUUUUCCAUCAUAAGCUUUUUACUUUUAUUUACAUCACUUUGCAUUUUUGUUAAUUAUUUUCCUUUUUUAAACCUUUUUGAGCAGUCUAUUGCUCAAACCAUGGCUACUGACCAAAAAUUGCUCAUAUUUCCACCAUAAAUGUUCAUUGGGAGAACCUCCAAUAGAUGUAAGUUUUUCUAUUUCCUUAGUAUCUUUUGAUUUUCGGUUACUUCUCUUUGCUUGUUCCUUAAUUCUUUUUCUAUGUUGCAGAGAUGAAGUCUUGAGGAUAAAAAUAUGUUUUACUCCUCUUGAUAUGCAGAUAUGUUGCAGAGAUGAAGUCGCUGUGAGAUACAUUUAAAGUAUAUCCUGUUUGGGAUGAAUUCAAGGUGAGAUAACAAAAUAAUGAUUUACUCGUGUUUCAGUUACCAAUAUGCUUAUUUUGUUGUAAUAGUUUGCACUCUCAUAAAUCAGCGAAAUAGAUUUCUUCAUUGGCACCCUCAUCAGUCAUCAGUCUGCGAAACAGAGAAAUCAACGGUUUCAAAAUUCUCUAGAACCCAUUUCGAGCUUCACGCCUUCAAUUCUGAUGACACAAAAGACAUCAACAGAGUAGAAGAAUUCAACCCAACUCCCAUAAUGAACCCAAGUUUUCGAUUCCGCUUCACCUGAUGGGAAGAAGUUUACGAGUGAGAAAGGUCUAAAGGUACAAAUAUAUUGUCUUCCCCCUUUCUUAUUGCGGUGCUUAAAUUGGUUUUGCCCCACUUUGCAUCAUAAUGAUGUUGGAGUAUAUCGGUUUUCUACUGGUAUUCAGAUACUUAAAAUGGGAAAUUGCGUUUGAAAAUAUCGUUUUCAUUGUUCGAAUGUUUUUUAAAUCAUCUGUUGAUCCAAAAUUUUCAUUUUUCUGUUGAUCUUCUUCUAUCUUUAGUUUUACAUGUCUUCUGAUUGAGUUAUAAUACAUUCCUUGAUUCUAUAGAAGAUGAGAAAUCGUCAAAUGCCUACAAGUGGAGUCUGCAAAAAGUAGAGUUUACGCAUACUUUAUUCCUACCUUGUCAAUUGAAUAAUAGACUCAAAAUUCAAGUAAUAGAUAGCUGCUUCAGGUCCUCUGGCUACUGCUAUAUUAUAAAAAUGCCUUCUAAAUUCGACAUAUAUAUUCUUUAACUGUAGUUUCUCUUGCAACAACAACAACAAAUCCUUAUGUUUCUAUGACCCUUGAUUCUAAGAUUUUUAUCAACCUUCAAUCUUCAAAAAUUAUCGAUUCGAUCCUUCAGAUGCAUCUCCCUUAACCACUCUGAACCCGGUGGCUUUCCCAUGCAAAGAAAAUUGGCUGAAUCCCGUGAAAUUACUAGCUAGUACCUCUCGACAUCUUUGUAAAAGAGUAGAGAAGUCACGAUCAAGACAAUAGGUGAAUCUCGUGAAAUUAACUUAAAUCUAAUAUAAAAAUAAUAUAACCUUUAACUUGGCCUCAACUCAUAUAUAUGCCCUCCAACUUUGGAUGUGCGCAGGUAGAGACUUAAAUUUGUAUAGAGUUGAAUAAAUAGACACAAACGACCUAAGUGACAUCUUACAUGACAAUUUUCAUCUUACGUGGUGUCUUGUGUGCAUUAUGCCACGUAAGGCACAUGUGUUUAUUUGUUCAAUUUUAUGCAAUUUAAAGUGUCUAUUUGUGCAUACCCAAAGUUGGAGGACACAAAUGUGAAAUGAGGUCAAGUUAAAGGCCAUAUUAUUCAAAUUUCAUAGGGUUUGAAGUUUCAAUUUCAUUGAUGGAUAACGUUACAAUUUUGGUGCAACACAAUGGAACUUGAGAUUCAAACAACCACUAUGACCAAAGAACAAAAAAAACGGUUAACCGAGAGUCCUUGCCCGACAAAAAGCAAGGGUUUGCUUGUAGAAUGGGGGUAGGGCCGACAAUUUUUCUGGAUAGAUCGAACUAUUGGAAGAAAAUAAAAAAGAAAGACCGAGUGUUGUCACAUUGAUGCAAUUCUAGUCAAUUCCAUUUCCAAUUCAUAGAUCUAGUCACAAAUUUACCUUUUUUAUCCUUGGCGGAAUGUAAUGGAUAGUUCUAGAUAUAUGAAGAAAAUGUAUUUAUUAGUGUAAAUUUACUUCUUUACCCUUGGUCUUUCUUUGUCUUCACAUUUCUGUAUAGUAGAAAAGAAAAACACAAGAGGUCAUUUCUAGAUAAUUUAACAUCUAAAAUCAUCCAAACAACGAUCUACCUGGCCUCAACUAUUAGCGAGUUUUAAUUAUUAUUUUUUCUUGAUCGGAUUUUGGUAACGAUAGAUUCUUUGCUUAGUUGGCGAAAGUUUUAUUUCCAAUAUAAAAUGUGAAUUUUGGUGGUAUGUGGUCCCCACUAAAUUAUAGGUCAACUCUUUUUUUCCUUUUUAAAAUAGGAAUAAUACAUAAACAAUUUCUUAGUACACGUUAGAACUUACUAUAUAUGCUUAGAGUAAUUAUUUAAUUCUACACCAUAACUCCACGUUAUUGCCACUAUACCAAAAAGUCAAGCCUCCCAAUUUGAAACCAUCCAUUUAUUCCAACCUAUCCAAUAAAUUAAAGCUUGAGGCAAUCCUCCCAAUUCGAAAAGUCUUUUUCUAAACAUAUGACAUGUAUUUAUUGGUUUAUUGUAAAUAACAAAUACNNNNNNNNNNNNNNNNNNNNNNNNNNNNNNNNNNNNNNNNNNNNNNNNNNNNNNNNNNNNNNNNNNNNNNNNNNNNNNNNNNNNNNNNNNNNNNNNNNNNNNNNNNNNNNNNNNNNNNNNNNNNNNNNNNNNNNNNNNNNNNNNNNNNNNNNNNNNNNNNNNNNNNNNNNNNNNNNNNNNNNNNNNNNNNNNNNNNNNNNNNNNNNNNNNNNNNNNNNNNNNNNNNNNNNNNNNNNNNNNNNNNNNNNNNNNNNNNNNUAGCUGCUUCAGGUCCUCUGGCUACUGCUAUAUUAUAAAAAUGCCUUCUAAAUUCGACAUAUAUAUUCUUUAACUGUAGUUUCUCUUGCAACAACAACAACAAAUCCUUAUGUUUCUAUGACCCUUGAUUCUAAGAUUUUUAUCAACCUUCAAUCUUCCAAAAUUAUUGAUUCGAUCCUUCAAAUAUGUCUCCCUUAACCACUCUGAACCCGGUGGCUUUCCCAUGCAAAGAAAAUUGGCUGAAUCCCGUGAAAUUACUAGCUAGUACCUCUCGACAUCUUUGUAAAAGAGUAGAGAAGUCACGAUCAAGACAAUAGGUGAAUCUCGUGAAAUUAACUUAAAUCUAAUAUAAAAAUAAUAUAACCUUUAACUUGGCCUCAACUCAUAUAUAUGUCCUCCAACUUUGGAUGUGCGCAGGUAGAGACUUAAAUUUGUAUAGAGUUGAAUAAAUAGACACAAACGACCUAAGUAACAUCUUACAUGAAAAUUUUCAUCUUACGUGGUGUCUUGUGUGUAUUAUGCCACGUAAGGCACAUGUGUUUAUUUGUUCAAUUUUAUACAAUUUAAAGUGUCUACUUGUGCAUACCCAAAGUUGGAGGACAUAAAUGUGAAAUGAGGUCAAGUUAAAGGCCAUAUUAUUCAAAUUUCAUAGGGUUUGAAGUUUCAAUUUCAUUGAUGGAUAACGUUACAAUUUUAGUGCAACACAAUGGAACUUGAGAUUCAAACAACCACUAUGACCAAAGAACAAAAAAAACGGCUAACCGAGAGUCCUUGCCCGACUAAAAGAAAGGGUUUGCUGGUAGAAUGGGGUAGGCCGACAAUUUUUCUGGAUAGAUCGAACUAUUGGAAGAAAAUAAAAAAGAAAGACCGAGUGUUGUCACAUUGAUGCAAUUCUAGUCAAUUCCAUUUCCAAUUCAUAGAUCUAGUCACAAAUUUACCUUUUUAUCCUUGGCGGAAUGUAAUGGAUGGUUCUAGAUAUAUGAAGAAAAUGUAUUUAUUAGUGUAAAUUUACUUCUUUACCCUUGGUCUUUCUUUGUCUUCACAUUUCUGUAUAGUAGAAAAGAAAAACACAAGAGGUCAUUUCUAGAUAAUUUAACAUCUAAAAUCAUCCAAACAACGAUCUACCUGGCCUCAACUAUUAGCGAGUUUUAAUUAUUAUUUUUUCUUGAUCAGAUUUUGGUAACGAUAGAUUCUUUGCUUAGUUGGCGAAAGUUUUAUUUCCAAUAUAAAAUGUGAAUUUUGGUGGUAUGUGGUCCCCACUAAAUUAUAGGUCAACUCUUUUUUUCCUUUUUAAAAUAGGAAUAAUACAUAAACAAUUUCUUAGUACACGUUAGAACUUACUAUAUAUGCUUAGAGUAAUUAUUUAAUUCUACACCAUAACUCCACGUUAUUGCCACUAUACCAAAAAGUCAAUCCUCCCAAUUUGAAACCAUCCAUUUACUCCAACCUACCCAAUAACUUGAAGCUUGAGGCAAUCCUCCCAAUUCGAAAAGUCUUUUUCUAAACAUAUGACAUGUAUUUAUUGGUUUAUUGUAAAUAACAAAUACUUUUUCUUUCUCUAAUUACUUGUCCAUUUUUCCUUUUUUAGUUGUCCCUAAUUACUUGUCCAUUUUGACAAAUUAUUUUUACCUAUUAUACCCUCAAUUAAUUACUAUGAAAAAGAUAGAACUUCUUGAAAAUCUUAAAUUUUUAAUUCACCCACUUCAUAAUUUAAUAGGGGUAAAAUGGUAAACUCACUAUGUCAAUUAUUGUUUUCUUAAUAGGUGUGUCAAUUCAAAAGUGGACAAGUAAUUAGGGACAGAGGGAGUACAAUUAAGUUUUCACCUAAUCCCAGUUUGCUUGAUAAUAAUUUACUAUGUGGUGUUUUAGCUCUCACUAUCAAGAGGAACUUUAUCCUAACGAUUCAAGCUUGAAAGCUCUUAUUAAAUAUGAGAAAAUUAUGUGAAUACUUAAUUAAUUAGAUUAUAAUUUAGUAUAGAAACAAAAUAAUGAUUUAACUUUUGCCUAACAUUCUUUCCAUUUUUAGUAUAACUAAUUUCUCAUCACAUGCAUAGCACGUGGAGCUUCGACUUCUGAGUAACAACAAAAACUUGGUUAAACAUAUUUUUUAAAUUACCAAAUUUAAACUACAAAAUAAAGUUUAUUAAUGUUUCUUGAAGAACAUUAUAACAAAUUUACUCCUAUAUAUUUUGACAGACGUUAAUUAGUAAAAAAAAUCAUCCAACACUCUAUUAAUAUUUCUUGAAAAACAUUAUAACAAAUGUGUACUUUUUAAAAUUUUAUUGAAUCUUUACUUAAUAUUUAUAUUGAGUUAAAUAUUAGACAUGGUAGCUUUUGCUUUUAUACCUACUAGUCUUUGGGAACGUGCUUUGCACGUUUGUCCCAUAUUAUUACUAUUAUAAAACUUCUUUAUAUUUUAAAAAUUGAAUUAUAAAAUAGAAAUUGUUGAAAUUUAAAAUAUUAAUUCACUUUCCAUGUUUUCUGAUAGGCACACCAUAUAGUUUAAAUGUGAACAUAAGCAAGGUUGGUUAUGUUUUCAAAUGCUUCACAUCUUAAAAUUUAUGUCAUGACUUUCAGAAACUGGGAAUUCCUCCUCUUAUAGUCGUAUGCAUAACAAGAAGUUGUUGCGAAUGAAAGUAGUAUUUUGUAAAUAUUGAACAAAAAGUUGAUCAAUAUAUGUCUUCUUUAAUAUGGCUAUAAUAUCAUUGUCAAUUUUAUAGAAUACACCUAGUAAUAAAAGUAGUAAUUAUAUUAUGACGAAGAUAAUAAAUUAUUACUGACAUCAAAAAAUUGAAUCAAUAUAUAUUAAUUAUAAUUGCAUGUACAUGUAUAUCCUUUCUUUGAUUCAAGAUUAGGAUUUCUUUAACAUAAGAAUAUUAUUUGUAUGAUUGAAAUAUAAUAAGAAUCAAUCUCUAUUCAAGAACAUUUUCUUUCAUAUGAAAAUUUGACAUAAGAGUAUUACUUGUAUUGUUUAAGUAUAAUUGCAUUAGGAAAUACAAUAAGAAUCAAUCCUUAUUAAAGAACAAGGGACUUGAUAUAAAAAGUUGAAAUAUGUAAAAGAUGUUAAAAAGUAUAAGAUCUAAAUAUCCUGAAAAUUAUACAGAUAAUUUCUCAAAUCUAAAAAAUCUUAUUUCUAUAUUACGUUUCCUACAAACUAUAUUUUAUGUAUGUGAAAUAAUAAAAUUGAUAAAAAGAGAGUUGUAAAUAGCAUAUCCAGUAUGUACCGGAUGAUGAGAAGUGAAGAGCACACAGUUUCCAAACAAAAUCUGAAAUGAAGAGAAAUAAAUAAGAAUUAGUUAGCAAACUCAAGGAAAUCUUCAUAUAUUAAAUAUAUAUUGUUGAGAACUAAAAUGAGCAUAAGAGGAAUAAAGUAGUUACCAAUCAACAAUAUAUAUUUAUAUAUUUAAACUUUUAUGGCAUAUAGCUGCUAAUCUAUAUAUAUUAUAUAAAGCUUAAAGAUGAAAGAUUAAUGUGACUUGAGUUGUAUAAAAUCACUGCACAUGCACUAUAUAUUACUCCAAUUCUAUUUGACAAGGAACAUGAAAAGUUCACAUAACCGUUGGAAGCUCAAGGGAAAAAAUAGUAAAUGUGAGAUAUGAAAUAGUAGGAUUGUAAAUUGAGUUUAAGUAAUCUGUAUUAGGUUAAUUAAUGGGGAGAUGAAAAGAUUUUAUCAAUUAAAUGUAGUUAAAUUACUGAUAAAUAACUUUUUUUUAAAUGAUAAAAUGAUUACUCAACUUUUAACUAUUUAAUAUUUUAUUAUUUACAUGUUUUAUAACAUUUUUAUUUAGUCUAGGGGCAAAAUGAUAAUCCAACUUUGAAUGUUGGAGCUUCCCACUUAUAAUAAUAAUAUAUGAUUAUUAUCAAGGUAUGUGGUCCCCACCAAACUAUAGGUCAACUCAUUUUCCCCCUUUUAAAAAUAGGAAUAAUACACGUUAGAACUUAAUAUAAGCUUAGAAUAAUUAUUUAAUUCUACACCAUAACUCCACGUUAUUGCCUCUAUACAAAAAAAAAGUCAAUCCUCUCAAUAUAGCUUGAGGCAAUCCUCCCAAUUUGAAAAGUCUUUGCGUGAACAUAUGUCAUGUAUUUGUUAGUUUAUUGUAAAUAACAAAUACAAAUAAGUUUUCACGUAAUCUAAAUUUGCUUGGAAUGUUUUAGCUCGCACUAUCAAGAGAAACUUUAUCACAACGAUUCAAGCUCGAAACUUCUAAUUAAAUACGACAAAAUUAUAUAUAUAAAGAAAAUUAUAUAUAACAAAACAACUACAAGGGAGAAAUUUUAAUCAUUUCACUGUACCUCUUGAUGUUAUCAAAUUCCCAACUUGACAUGUUUUCAAGUAUAAAAAAAUAUUAUGAAGACAAAGUCUUGUUGGGGGGAAAAGUCAUACUCAUGGAAAAGACAGCUUAAAUUUAUUUAUUUUCCUAUAGCUGUCACUGUAGAAAACUAUUGUUGUACCAUUCUUGUUUGCAAAUCACUCUUAGCAUUCAACAGGUAAAGUAAACUUGUUAGUAAUUGAACAUACAAACAUUUUAUCUUUCUCUAAACUAUUGUUCUCACUUUACUUGUUUUGUUUUGCAGAUUUCAGAAAUGGAGAUUGGGUUAGCAGUUGGUGGUGCAUUUCUCUCUUCAGCUUUGAAUAUUCUCUUUGAUAGGCUUGCUCCUCAUGGUGAUCUGCUCAACAUGUUUUGGAAGCAUAAGGAUCAUGUUCAGCUUUUACACAAGCUGCAGGACAUUUUGCUUGGUCUUCAGAUUGUGCUAAGUGAUGCAGAGAAUAAACAAGCAUCAAAUCGACACGUGAGCCAGUGGCUUCAUAAGUUUCAGAGUGCUGUAGACGGCGCUGAAAACUUGAUAGAAGAAGUCAAUUAUGAAGCUUUGAGGCUUAAGGUGGAAGGCCAGCAUCAAAAUCUUGCAGAAACAAGCAAUAAACAAGUAAGUGACCUUAACCUGUGCUUGACUGAUGAAUUUUUCCUUAACAUAAAGGAGAAGUUGGAAGAAACCAUUGAAACAUUGGAGGUGUUGGAAAAGCAAAUUGGUCGCCUUGGCUUAAAGGAUCAUUUUGGUUCGACUAAACAAGAAAUUAGAACACCUUCAACUUCUUUGGUUGAUGAUUCUGGUAUCUUUGGAAGGCAGUAUGAUAUAGAGAAUUUGGUUGGUCGUUUAUUGUCUAAGAAUACAAAGGGAAAUAAUCUGGCUGUAGUUCCUAUUGUUGGAAUGGGCGGCCUGGGUAAGACAGCACUUGCUAAAGCGGUUUACCAUGAUGAGAGGGUGAAGAACCAUUUUGGUUUGAAAGCUUGGUAUUGUGUUUCUGAGCCAUAUGAUGCUUUGAGAAUAACGAAAGGGUUACUUCAAGAAAUUCACUCAUUUGACUCAAAGGAUGUCCACAACAAUCUUAAUCAGCUUCAAGACAAAUUGAAGGAAAGCUUAAAGGGAAAGAANNNNNNNNNNNNNNNNNNNNNNNNNNNNNNNNNNNNNNNNNNNNNNNNNNNNNNNNNNNNNNNNNNNNNNNNNNNNNNNNNNNNNNNNNNNNNNNNNNNNNNNNNNNNNNNNNNNNNNNNNNNNNNNNNNNNNNNNNNNNNNNNNNNNNNNNNNNNNNNNNNNNNNNNNNNNNNNNNNNNNNNNNNNNNNNNNNNNNNNNNNNNNNNNNNNNNNNNNNNNNNNNNNNNNNNNNNNNNNNNNNNNNNNNNNNNNNNNNNNNNNNNNNNNNNNNNNNNNNNNNNNNNNNNNNNNNNNNNNNNNNNNNNNNNNNNNNNNNNNNNNNNNNNNNNNNNNNNNNNNNNNNNNNNNNNNNNNNNNNNNNNNNNNNNNNNNNNNNNNNNNNNNNNNNNNNNNNNNNNNNNNNNNNNNNNNNNNNNNNNNNNNNNNNNNNNNNNNNNNNNNNNNNNNNNNNNNNNNNNNNNNNNNNNNNNNNNNNNNNNNNNNNNNNNNNNNNNNNNNNNNNNNNNNNNNNNNNNNNNNNNNNNNNNNNNNNNNNNNNNNNNNNNNNNNNNNNNNNNNNNNNNNNNNNNNNNNNNNNNNNNNNNNNNNNNNNNNNNNNNNNNNNNNNNNNNNNNNNNNNNNNNNNNNNNNNNNNNNNNNNNNNNNNNNNNNNNNNNNNNNNNNNNNNNNNNNNNNNNNNNNNNNNNNNNNNNNNNNNNNNNNNNNNNNNNNNNNNNNNNNNNNNNNNNNNNNNNNNNNNNNNNNNNNNNNNNNNNNNNNNNNNNNNNNNNNNNNNNNNNNNNNNNNNNNNNNNCUCUAAGCAAGAGGGUGCAGCAUAACAUACUGCCAAGACUAAGAUCCUUGAGGGCAUUAUCAUUGUCUCAUUACAAGAUUAAGGAGUUGCCAAAUGACUUAUUUAUCAAAUUAAAGCUCCUCAGAUUUUUGGAUAUUUCUCGGACAGAGAUUAAAAGGUUGCCAGAUUCCAUUUGUGUGUUGUAUAACUUAGAGACACUUCUCCUGUCAUCUUGUGAUUAUCUUGAGGAGCUACCACUGCAGAUGGAGAAGUUAAUCAACUUGUGUCAUCUUGACAUAAGCAACACUUCUCUCUUGAAGAUGCCACUAUAUCUGAGCAAGUUGAAAAGCCUCCAAGUGUUAGUGGGAGCCAAGUUUCUUUUAGGUGGUUUGAGAAUGGAAGAUUUGGGUGAAGCACAGAACUUGUAUGGAUCUCUAUCAGUUGUAGAGUUGCAAAAUGUGGUUGAUAGUCGGGAAGCUGUGAAGGCAAAGAUGAGGGAGAAGAAUCAUGUUGACAAGUUAUCUUUGGAGUGGAGUGAAAGUAGUAGUGCCGACAAUUCAGAAACUGAAAGAGACAUACUUGAUGAACUACGCCCACAUAAAAACAUAAAAGAAGUCGAAAUCACUGGAUAUAGAGGGACAAAAUUUCCAAAUUGGCUAGCUGAUCCUUUGUUUCUUAAGCUGGUGGAAUUAUCUCUUAGCAACUGCAAGGUCUGUUAUUCCUUGCCAGCACUAGGAGAACUCCCUUGUUUGAAAUUCCUUUCGAUUAGAGGGAUGCAUGUAAUAACAGAUGUGAUGGAAGAAUUCUAUGGUAGUUUGUCCUCAAAAAAGCCUUUUAACUCUCUUGUGGAGCUUAGAUUUGAAGAUAUGCCGGAGUGGAAGCAAUGGCACCUACUAGGAAGUGUAGAGUUUCCUAUCCUUGAGAAGCUUUUCAUUAAAAAUUUCCCUGAACUCAGUUUGGAGACACCCAUCCAAUUUUCAAGUUUAAAAAGGUUUCAAGUUGUUGGUUCUUCUAAGGUUGGAAUUGUUUUUAAUGAUGCUCAACUGUUUAGAUCCCAACUUGAGGGAAUGAAGCAGAUUGAAGAAUUAUAUAUUAGUGAUUGUAACUCUAUUACCUCCUUACCUUUUAGCAUACUGCCCACUACCUUGAAGAGAAUAAGGAUAUCUGGUUGCCGGAAUUUGAAAUUGGAUCCGCCAGUUGGUGAGAUGAGUAUGUUUCUCGAGGAAUUGAAUCUGAAGGGAUGUGAUUGUAUAGAUGAGUUGCUCCCAAGAGCGCACAAAUUGAGAAUUUGGAGUUGCCAGAACCUUACUAGGUUUUUGAUUCCAACUGCGACUGAAAUACUCAAUAUUUGGAAUUGUGAGAAUCUUGAAAAACUUUCAGUGGCAUGUGGGGGGACCCAGAUGACGUGUUUGAAUAUUUGGGACUGUAAGAAGCUGAAGUGGCUGCCAGAACGUAUGCGGGAACUCCUUCCAUCUCUUAAGGAACUACAUUUGUGGGAUUGUCCAGAAAUAGAGUCCUUUCCUGAAGGAGGAUUGCCCUUCAAUUUACAAGCCCUUCGGAUCAAAUAUUGCAAGAAACUGGUGAAUGGGCGAAAGGAGUGGCGUUUACAGAGACUCCCCUGUCUCAAAAAGGUAACCAUCUUACAUGAUGGCAGUGACGAAGAGAUUGUUGGUGGUGAGAAUUGGGAGUUGCCUUCCUCUAUUCAAAGACUUUUUAUAGAGAAUCUGAAAACAUUAAGCAGCCAACAUCUCAAAAGCCUCACCUCUCUUCAAUCUCUACGUAUUGGGGGUAAUUUACCUCAAAUUCAGUCAAUGUUGGAACAAGGCCAGUUUUUGCACCUCACUUCGCUUCAACGUCUACAAAUCAUUGAUUUCCCUAAUCUCCAAUCUCUUCCAGUAAAAGGGAUGCCAUCUUCCCUCUCUACACUAGAUAUUCGUGACUGUCCAUUGCUCACACCACUACUAGAAUUUGACAAGGGGGAAUACUGGCCAAAUAUUGCUCAUAUCUCCACCAUAAAGAUCAAUGAGAAAUGCCUUUAAUGAUUAAAACAAAUGGUGCUCUCACAAAUGUAAGUUUUUCUUUUUCCUCAUAAGCAUUCUUUUUUCUUUAACUUCCUUUGCUUUUAUGUUAAUUCUUUUUCUUUAUUACAUUCUCGUUGCGCAGUAUGGAGUGUCUAUUGCCACUCUGAAACUGAGAAAUCAUCUUCAGAUUAUAAUUAUUUUAAUUUUAGAUCUCAUUAGCAAUUAAUGUUACAUAUCUUACUCGAAGAUUUUUAUCGCUUGAACUUUCAUCUCAAUAGCAAUUCAUGUGUUCUUAUUAUUUCCCUUUUCAGUCAGUUUAGAGUCAUCCACAUGUCCACUAUCGAAUUCAAAACUAUAAUAGAAUCCAAAGGUGUACCAUACACAAGAUUUGUUUCCUAUGUAUCAAAAAUACAAAUGUUUGCCUCCCAAUAAAUUUAACACCUAAAAGCAUCAGCACUAUUCAGGUUUUUAUUAAUGAUUCAGCCCCAUCAUAGAGAUCGAUUGGGAAUACAUGUGAUGAUUAAAACAGAUGGCUCUCCAACUGAUGUAAGUUAUUCUUUUCCAUCAGAAGCUUUUUAUUUUUGUUUACUUCACUUUGAUUUUUUGUUGAUUCUUUUCCUUUUUAAAACCUUGUUGAGCAGUGUGGAAUGUCUAUUGCUCAAGAAAGUUGAUUGCUUAAUAUAUGUUAGCAGGAUGUCAUCACCUUUGGAGAUAAAGGGUCCAAGAAAUACAACCUCACUUUCUCAAUCAGGUAGCCAACACCUUGAUAAGAGUUACAUCAAGCUUCAAAUUUAAAGAAAGUGAAAACAACUUAAAUUGCCUGAUUCCAUUAUUGACGUCAUGUUGUACCACAUUGAUUUCAAGUUUGAUGCGACUGCAUUAUUACAUCAGUUUUUUUUUCAUAUUCAAAGAUCCAGAAUAUUACAUUAGUUUUUUGGUUUUGAUAUGCAGAGAACUUUGAGGAUUAUGAAGUUUCCUUCAAAUUAUGUCCGUUACUCAACCUCGAGUGGCACCUUACAGCUAGUGGGAAGUCAAGAAAGUAUAUCCUGCUCGGAAUGAAGUCAAGGUUAGAUAAUUAAAUAAUGAUUUACUGGUGUUUCAGUUACUAAGAUGCUUAUUUUGUAGUAAUAGUUUGCACUCUCAUAAAUCAGCGAAAUAGAUUUCCUUCAUUGGCACUCUCAUCAGUCAUCAAUCAGCGAAACAGAGAAAUCAACGGUUUCAAAAUUCUCUGGAACCCAUUUCAAGCUUCACGCCUUCAAUUCUAAUGACACCCAAGACACAGAAGACAUCAACAUAGUAGAAGAAUUCAACCCAAUACCCAUUUCAACCCAAGUUUUCGAUUCCUGCUUCACCUGAUGAGAAGAAGUUUAUGGGUGAGAAAGUUACAAAGCUGAAAAUAUCUUCUUCUAUCUUUUGUUUUACACAUCUUCUGAUUGAGUUAUAAUACAUGCCUCGCUUCUAUACAAGAUGAGAAACCAUAAAAUGCCUUUAUGAAGUGUUUGCGAAGUUGAUGUCACCUAAUUCAGAUUUCACUGAAUUAAUUUUUGAACCAAAUUAAUGCAUAUGUUUGCUCUAACGUUGAAAAGGAAAAACGUUGAAUGAUAUGGAUAUUUUCCUUUUAAGAAUACAAAGUCGCGAUAAAGGUAGAAAAUUUAGAUGGUAUUAAUUUUGAUAUGGAUCACCGUUGAGAACUUUGCCUGAGGUAUUAAAUUCUAUUUUCCCUCUUUAGAAAUGUUUCAUGUAGCUCCUAAUUGUGAUGCUUCAUUUACAUAUUUUUAAAAUUUGAUCAUAUAACAGGGAUAGAGUGUGUCCGAGUCAAUUUGAUGUUACAGACUUGCAGCUAACUGUUGUGCGUUAUAUAAUUGCAUAUUUCUUAGACACCAGAUAUGACCAAGUUCCAUCUACAAUGUUAACAGAAUCUUUGAUAGGUAAAGGAGGCAGACAAAAAAGCUAAACAUCUUUUUUCUUCCGUAUAGCUCCCAGGCAACUACACAAGGCAAUGCUUGAUAUAAGGGCUUUAGAUAUACAUUUGCAGGGUGUUUAUCGUAUGAGUAAGGAAAUCACUGUCUUCGCUCCCAGCAGACAGUGAUUGGAAGAUCCAUCCUCGCAUCACUUAGCACCUUCCAGCAGGCAAGCCUUUUUUUAAAAAAAUCUUCUCUUGCAUAUACUUUUGCAAUUUUAAACUUCAUUUUGAAUUGUGUUGUUGCUAACUUAAACAUGUUUGUGCUUAAUCAGAUGUGGAUUUUGAAGGGCUGUUGACACCCAAUUUUGACCCUCCCUGAUAAUAAUUAAUUUUCGAGCUUUUUAAAUUUCAAACAAUUUAAAAUAAUUAGCCUUGUAAAAUCCAAUUGGUUUCAAGAUUAUUUUAAGUAAUUUUCGUAGAUUUCUAUAGUAGUUUGAAUAAUAAAUAUAUUUUACAUAAUUAUUUAUGUAUUUAGUAUAUUUUAUAAAUGGUUGAAAUCCAUAUCAAAUGAUUUUUACAGUGUUAAAAUAAGUAGUUUAUUAAUUUGGUUUUAGUGUGAGUUAUAGUUUGAAUUUUGAACUAAUUAGUUUAUAUUUAAAUCAAUUACUUUGUAAUCAAGUUAGUUAUUUUAUUUUGUAUAGAUUAAGAAGCUCAUUAAUUAAUUUAUAUAAUUUCAUCUUGUCGAGCUUUUGGCCGAAUUCACAAAUCAAUUUCCAACCGGUUAAAUUUUCAACCUCAAUUGAUCAUAAUUUUAAUCGUAAUCCCUUUUUUUUUUAUUUCUAAGCUUGGUUCUUUUAUUUUUGCAAUCCAGCAGCCCAAACACUUAAAAAACAACCCAUCCCAAACACCAAUUUUCAGCUUCAAUUCCCAACCCAAUAAUUCCUGUGACCAAGCCCAAUUUCCCCUUUAACCCGGCCCACCCCAAUUCUAAAAGAAAUCAAUACAAUCCAAUGUUCCCUUUUUUUUCCUCUGUCAACGCAUCAAAUUCACGGCAACAACGACAAUCCCAAGCGGCGUGAGCAACAAUUCCUAAACGACACCAACAACAGCGUACAAACGACGCCCUAAAGUCCAUCAACUCACGGCGAUUCACGGAAAGCUCACGGCGCGAGAAAACGCGUGCCUAGUACAACAACAUACUGCUAUCCGUCGCCCUCUUCGCUGCAACAGUGCAGUUGCAGCAGCUGCUGUAACAGCGCAGGGUGUCCUUGAGGACGUAGGAUCGAGACACGUAGCAUCUCAAGGACAUCAAAUUGAUUGAAGUCGUCCAUCGCCCUUUCUCCUUCCGGAAUGAGACGAAUUUUCAAAGAAAAGGUGUCGUCCCAAAACGGGAAAAGAAUUUUUUGAAUUUGGAAUGGGCCUCGUUUCACCCGUUCUUUGCCCUAAUUUGAGGGAUAAAUAGUUCCGGAUCCUUCAGGUUUUAGGCAGGAUUUUCAGUUGCUGGAAAGGAAGAUAUAUAAACAUAAGAAUACAUAUAUAAAUGGAGAGCGAUAUUUAGGCAAAAGUCGACAAGAAAUUUGAUUCUUGUGUUCGCCUCUUGCAAGGCUCGUCGGAAUCUCGUUGUGGUAUUGGAGUUGCUGUUUCUCUGCUCGUGGUUCUCGGUUUCGCUGCACCCUUGAAGGUAACACUCAUCUCUCUUCAAGCAUAUCUUGCUCAUAAUGUGUCGUCGCUUGAUUCUUAAUGCGUGAGCCGUCUGCGUGAUAAUGUUUGGAGAAUACUUCGACUCAUUGCUUAUCAUAAAUCAGUAUGUAGCUGGUUUGUCUGCUUCUGGACACUGAUAAGAGUUGAGUUUUUCCGCCUCAUUUGUCUAUUGCUGCAUCUGUUGAUUUAUGUUGGUUAUAUUGUGACCUGGACUUUUGCAAAUGUAUUGGAAUAUUGGGUUUUUAUUGUUAUUACUCUUAUUGUCCUAGUUUUUCUAUAACACCUCUAUGAUCGGUUUCAAAAUUCCUAUUAAUCUUAUUCUGUGUCUAUUUGUUGUAAAUAUGCUUAUGGCUCAGGUUCUAGUGGCAAAUCGUAAUGUAUGCUUCAUGUUUAUUUGGAUUUGUUCACUUCGAUUUAAUAAUGAAACUUGUCAAAAAUCGGUGCUUACCUUAGCCCAUAGGUUGUUAUCUCCGAUAAUCUUAUGUUGCUAUUCAGGGGUCAAGCGUGUCGAAUUAUUAGCAGUCUAUCUAGCUAACGGUGUUCAUCAUAAGUAGCGGUUAUAUUCUUCUCAGAUAGUAGCUUAAGCUUUAACUGAUUUUUACUACUUUAGCAUGAUAUAACUCACCAAAUAUUUGAGGAAUCAGAUUAUUUCCCUUGGAUUUUCACUGAUGGUUGGCCCGUACUUGAGUUACUGUAAGUAGAACAUUUGGUCACGACUCGUUAGCUUAUCCACCAUAUAUUUAAUUCUUCCUGCAAAUAUUCAAAUGCUUGUCCUAUAUAAAAAAAUAAUAAUAUAUAUAUAUAUAUAUAUAUUAAUUUCUAUCCAUUAGUUUAUAGUGUUAUUUCCAGUGAAGUCCUUGAAUAUGCAUUUUAGUUGUUUGUGCUAGUAGCUGUUCAAUUAAAUAAUCUUUUUAUGUCUCAUAGUUUGAUGAAUCCAUGGCUGUUUACUGCUUCUUCGUUAGUAAAAUCGCUUAAUGAUGAUCAUGAAUUACUCAUGUUAAUUCUUUCCUUCCACUUUCCUUACAUGUGAUGCUUCGCCGAGUCUAUUUGGACUUUUCCCAUUGCCUCUUUGCAUUUUCGAGUAUCGAGUCAGCCCUCCGAUGUUCAAGAGUGAAAUGGAAUUGGCGUACAGGUGUUUGGAGCUGAUAUACGGGAUUGUAUACAUUAGUAUACACCUAGUGUAUACGAAAAAAUGAAAAAUGGGCAUAAAGUAGCCUUAAAUUUUCAGCUUUUGUAUUUUUGUAAUUAUUGGACUAAAAGCCCAUUUAUUUUGAUUAUUAUUGUGUUAGUUUAGGACAGGUACCAAGUGUUGGGCCAAAAGCCCCAAAAGCAGAAAUCAGGCCCAAGUAUUGGUCCAGGCGAACAAAAAAAAAAAAAAAAUCCAAACUUGGGCCCAACUCUCUUUCCCUCUUUACUUUAUUGUGUUCAUUUACUUACUAGUAUUUGUCGUUAGUCUUAAGGUCGAAAAAUUCAAAUCCCCGAAAAACGUCUAUUUUGAUUUAAUAAUUUAACUAAACCAGUCAUCUCUUAAACAAGACUUAAAGGAAUAAUUUUGCAGGAUAGCUCACUUAGACAAUAUUUAAAUAUUUCCUCUUUUCCCCCUUUAAAAAUAAGUUUUAACUAUAAAAUAGAUCAAUUUCGCAAGUCAAGCUAAGUUAAAAUUAUUUUAGUCAAGUAGUUAAUCGUCGGAUAACCACAUUAGUGGAUAUUUUAGGUGUCUUUAAAACCAUCCUAGAAUAUUAAUAAGAACCUCGAACCCCCCUUUUAAAAUUUUCAUUAGAUUCCAUGUUUUAAUCUUUUGAAAAAAUAGUUUUCUUGAUUUUUCUUAAAAAUUAAGUGGCGACUCUAAACCAGUCCAAAAUAAUAUUUUCUUAAAUAAAACAAGGGCGAGUACGACAAAUCUGGUCCAUCCAUUGUCCACAAGAAGUGCUUCUAAGGUGUUGCUGCUAUUUUUACAUUUGUUCGCGAGUUCUUUUUUAUUUUUUUUGUUCUUUCUGCUAAAGCUAUUAUGUCAUCCACAGUGAACUCAGGUCUGCUGUUAUAGGCAAGUCAUCGAGAUGGGGCUAUCAAAGAAGGGUGAUUAAAAACAUUGUACCGCUGAUACUAUUUCAUGUUUCCAGUGCAAGCCUCUUUUGUAAGUUGACAAACUCGAUUUGUAAAUAUGUUUGGGACUCAACUAGUGGUUAGAGUAUUGAUUUUGUAAGAUUUUUGUCCAGAAAAUCAAAUUAGAAAGAUUACUCGCGAUGAUUGAAUAAGCUCGAAGAAGUGGAUUUGAAUUUCAAUUCGUGUCUUUUUUUUAUGUGUGUGUGUG
rnacentral:lncRNA from 1 species